UUCCUUGGAUGAAUGUGGGAGCACUUAUAAAUGAGAAGAAUGCUGAAGGACAAACACCUCUCCAUCUGCUUGCCCAUUCCCAACUGAGAUAUCGUCCAGCUUACAUAAAGAACAAGAAAGUAGAUAAGAUGAUACUUAACAGCCAAAACUUGACUGCUAUGGACGUAAUUUCAUCGGCUGAGGAUUUAUAUGGACACAAGGUAAGCCUAUCUAACUCUCAAUUAAUUUUCCAAAUAGCUAGUAAUUGGUGCACAUACAAGUAUGCUAAGUAUAUAUGUCGAAUUAUAAUAUAAUUAGUACUAUUACUAAAUUGAUACUUAGAAUGGUAAAACCAUCAAUUAUAUUACUAAGUCAAAUGAAAUGGUAGUACAUGUUUAGUAUUCAAUAAAAAAGGCAAAGCAAGAGACAACAAGAUUUGACUAAAAUUGAACUAGCCUUUUUAUCACGUUCUACUACACAUUUGCUUUACAACUAGAUGCUCUUUAUGUAGAGCAAAUAAGCAACAGAUAAGUAGGAAUAUGCAACAAACUUCAUUAUCUUCUAAAGACUAGGACAAUCUGAAAACCAGGCACUAUAAAUAAAAAUAUUAAGUAAAUACUUCCAACAGUACAUUAUCAGGCGCAUUGAAGCCAAGCUACUUCAAAUGAUUUGGAGUAUGUAAAAGUAAAAUCAUUAAUAUUGUAUCCUCUAUAUAUAUAUUUUCUAUAAAAUGAUUUGACUGAUUAAAUUUCAGGCUGUUAUUGUACGGCACCUGAAAUGGGCCAAAGCCAGAGUCGGGCCUUUGUUGCGGCAGAAGACUAUGAGCAAAGACAAGGACAACAAAGACGAGGAUAACAACGAAAGAAAACGUAAUAAAGGUUUAGACGUAUCUUUCUUAAAGAAAGCAAGCAAUAGUCAUUUGCUAGUUGCCACACUCGUAGCCACUGUAUCCUUCGGAGCAGGUUUUACAUUGCCCGGUGGGUAUAAUAAUAGUGACGGCACAGCCAUUUUAAGAAAAAAGAUAGCUUUUCAAGCAUUUGUUGCGUUUGAUUUCUUAGCCCUGUUGUCGUCUGUGACUGCUAUAUUGUCUCAUUUUUAUGGUGCACUGAAUCACAAAAAGGCGCAGCUCGCAUCAUCACUAAGCUUGGCCUAUUGGUUCACCCAGUUGGGUAUAGGAGCAAUGAUAGUAGCAUUCAUGAGCGGCGUGUACACCAUGGAUCCACAUCACUCAGGGAUGACCUUUUCUAUUUAUAUCAUCUUCAUCUGCGUUUCGAUUUUCAUCUUAUUCACUGUGGUACGCCAAAUUCAACGUUAAGAAUGCCCGAGCAAGAUUAUGUUGGAAAGUACGUCUGAUUUUGGUAACUUCUUUAAAAUUAGGAUUUAAUUUUUUAUUUCAAAAAAAGUUAAUAAAAUAUUUUCAGUUUGAGUGAGAUUUUGUUUUUAUAUUUAAGUAAUUCAUUUUUCUAUAUUUUAUCAUUCAGAGUUUCUAUUUUGUUAUAUGUAAGGUUGUGUGAUAUUCAACUCAUUUGUCACAAUAAUAUUUUUCUUUUAUUUAGAAGAGAAAAUAUAAGAUCUUGGAAGUAUCCUGGUCCCAUUGAUGACAAGUGGGACCAAUAAUUCGAUCGGGGUAGUUGCUAAACCAUACCACAUAGUUAUAGGUUUGCCUGCCAUCCACACCAAAAUAAAUGGAGUUUUCCAAAAAAAACUUGUUAGGGAAGGAAGACCUCCUAGGGAUAAGAGACAUAAGGCUAAAGAGAAAGCCAAAAAAAGAUGGUGGGCCGCAUUAAAGGCUUUUGUGUUAGCAAAAUCUCUUUCUAUAAAAUGAACUAAUUUCUUACAGGAUGUUGUUCUAAAAUUGUGAUACAUAAAAAUCUUGGGGAGGAUUGAUUGAGGAUGAGGAAAUAAUUGAAAGAAAAUUUUGAAGAAUAUUGUGAUGGGAUGAAGUGGCAAAACAAGAUAGAAAUUUGAUAGUUAUCACAAAAUGCUAUGGUUCUUACAUAUGAUUUCUUAAUUUAUUUAGAAGUAAUUCACGGGAGGAAGAGAAAGGUUGGGAUUCCAACAGGCGUCUAUUAUUGAAUUCACUCGACCCGAUAGUACCCAUUUUGGGAACGUUCGGACAGUAUAAAUUUACCAAUACUUUUCGCUCAGGAUCUGUUGGUAAUUUUCUCUUGAUUUUUCUCUGUUGGUUAUCACUUCUCAUGUAAUCCAAUCCUUUCACUCCAGUGAAUCGAUGUGAUAUCACAUAUAUGGCUGGUAGAAUUUAAGGGUUGUCGCAAAUCAAUUAUCAAAAGAACUUCACAUAGAUAUUGAAAGUGGUAUGUCAAUAUCUUGAUGUGAUUAACCAAAUCAAUUAUCAAAGCAACAAAGGGGUUAACCAAAUCAAACAAAAGGCCCAAACAAUCACACAUGCUAAUGACUAUGGAGGAAAACCUUAAGGUUAACCAUCUCCAUGACUGUAAGAAUCUUUUAUUUGUAGAGCAUUGGUACCAAGGACAACUGUUUGGCACCAAGGAAAGUUGUUUGUCCAUUUUCCUUUGUCUGUUGUCUAUUCACUUAAUUUUCUUUUUUUCUUUCUCUUUUUUGUGUGGGGGUGAAGUGAAGUACUUGUCCAUUUAGCGUGAAUAUCUAGACAAGCCUUUUCCAUGAUGAGAUAAGGAAAUGGGUGGAAAAUAGUUACACAACUUGGCAUAGCAAUGUUUAAAGUAAUUUUAAGAUCAAGUUUAAAUUUAGUACCUAAAUGCUCUUUUUUUUAUAUAUAAAAAAGAAAAUGGAAGUGGAUAUCAUCCCUAGCCAAUUGUUAUAUGUCGAAUUGGUUUUUCUAUUAAAAUUUUCUAUGAAAUUGAUGAAAAAAACUCAUGUGAAAAGUGUACACACUUUAGCAUGAAAUUGUAUAUAAUACAUUACAAUUUGUCCAAAUUUUUUGUGUGUUGAUCAUAUGUUUUCCAUCCAUUUCUAAUAAAAGAAAAAAAAUUAUAAAAGAAAAAAAGAAAAAAGAAAAAACUCACAUUUAACAAUAGUUUAGGGUUAAUAUUGUAACAAGAAAAUUAAGAGCUAGAUUGAGACAUAAGUGUGAAUUCUCAUCACACAAAAAUGUAGACCAAAACUUGUACUUAAUUGUUGGAGGAUGGAGUGUAUAGUUGACCUAGGAUUUAUGUAUAUUGAUAUUCCUCUUUAUUCUCUUAGGAUGAAGGUUGAUAUGUUUCUUGACUAGAGAUGUUAAUGGCAUGAUAUGCAAGAUUUUUAUUCUUGGCAUGCCCCCUUAACCUGGCAUGAGCAUGGACACUUAAUUUGCUUUUAAAUGAUUGAAAGGUGUCCUUAGCUAAUGGUUUUGUAAAAAUGUCAAUAGGUUGAUUUAAGGAUGCAAUAUAUCGUGCAACAAGAUUACCUAAUGUAACUCUUUACCUUACGAAAUGAUAGUCGAGUUCAAUGUGCUUUGACCACACAUGAAACAUCAAGUUAACUGACAUAUAAAGUGCACUAAUAUUGUCAUAAAACAGUUAUGGCAGUUGUGAUAAUGCAACUCCAAUGCCAUAGAGGAGGAAGGUUAAACAUGUUAUUUUAGCUAUUCUAGAGGCCAUGGACUAAUAUUUGGCUUCACAACUAGAUUGGGAUACGGUGGGAUGUUGUUUUUUUUUUUUUUUUUUUGGACACCAAUAAAUGCAAUUCACACCAAGGAAUGCACAAAGCUCAAUGGUACUUCUGUUGGUAUCUUAAAUCUAAAUAACGGAAGUAAUACCAAUUUUAAAAAAUUGAUAUUUAGGGUUAAAGUACUAACCUUUAGGUUUGGAUGUUUCUCAACCUUAAAUUCCAAUUGUUGAAGAAUCAAAUUGAUAUCUUCGGAAGUCUUGUAGACCCAUAAUCUUCCACCCGAUGGCUCUUCCUUGAUUUUGGCACACUUUCGGUGAAAAAGAAGAGAAAGUAGAAGAUAUGACUCUCUCUCUCUCUCUCUCUCUCUCUCUGAAGGUAGAAGACAACUCUAUAGAAACAUUCUAAUCCCUAAAUGGAUAUUUAUAGGGUUCUUCAUUGGGCUAAAGUGACUUAAGUCCACUAAAGGCUUAGGUCACUUAAUCUAGCCCAAAAUGGGUCCUAAUUAAUUAUUUAACCUAACAAGACCUACUAAUUAAUCAAUUAACCCAAUCAAGAUGUCUUGCUCAUUUACCAUUAUGCAACCUUACAUAAUUACCAAAAUACCCUUAUGCACAAAAGUGAACCUAGAGUGAAUCUAACCCUCAUAAAUCGUGUCAACAAGGUAUAUAAGAUUGAGCGAUGACUACUAGGACCCAUAAGACAGUAUCGACUCCCUCAUAAUACAAUUCUAAAACUGAUUCAAUAUCCCACUAUAACAAAAUCAACUACACUCUAGUACUUUAAGCAAAUAACACUAAUACACUAAGAGUUCGAGUAUGUGGCUUAUUGUGCAUUACAUUCAUCUCCCCAUGAACAUAUGUUCGUAGUCUAACAAGCUAAAUGCUAUCAGCCUUUCAAGACUACCUAUACUAUCCUUGAGUUACAAAUCCUCCUAUUGUGUAUUCAAUUGACAUAUCUUGACCCUCAAAAAGCCUAUGUCAAGUUUCAUUUAAGAAACUACUAUGAUCAUAGUUUACAUGAACACACCUUCUUAGGAUCACCCAAAUAGACACUUUAUCUCAAAUUCAUGAAAGUGAGAAUACCUAUUGCUAACAGUUUCCAUCAAUAGCAACUCAAUCCAUAGGGAAUAUAUGAUUAGCUUACGAUCUCAUCCAUAAGGCAAAGUCACUACUAACUUUAGCUCAAACUCAGUAUUCUCUCAAGGUUGAGAGACAACACAAUGAAGCAACAUGAUGAAGUCAUGACCACUUGAUAUGCUUAAGUCAUGACUCACCAUAGGUCCUGUUCAAUGUGUAGUAACCAUACACACCAAUGUACUCACCAUGGGAAACCCAUCUUGAUAGCCAAAAAUACUCAUCCUUCCAAGUAUGAGGUAGUACACUACAACCUCAAAUGGAUUGCCUAAGUCCACAAACCGGUUGUGAACAAAUCAUCUACUUACCACCUAUGACUUGGAUCUUCCGUGCAACUGAUAAUGCAUCUAAGUCAUAUACAAUGCAAAAAAUGCUAAGCGAGAAUUCUUCUAAGGUGUAAUGCAUGGAAUAAGGAUAAAUAAAAGUUAACUUUUAAUGACUCUAUCCUAACAUUCUUCCACUAGCCCAUAAACCAUAAUGCUAUUAAAGCAUAUUGGAUACUGAUUAUCUAAAACCUAUGUUAUCCCUAUGAUCAACAAAGACUCUCCUUGUCAAUGUCUUGAUGAAAGGAUCCACAAGGUUCUCCACAAAAGGUAUCUUGUCAACCAUCAUGUCACCCUUCUAUACUAACUCAACAGUUUGGAAUACAAGUACAUAAUCCCUUGUUCUAUAAAGAUACUUGAUUAUAUGCUUAACAAAGCGUAAUUUUCAUUUUCUUGUAAUCUCCAAGGGCUUUAAACCCAAGAAUAUAUUGUGUUCCUCCUAUAUUUCCAUUUAGAACUAAGUAAAUAAACUAAUCUUAAUUUAUUUAUGAUAAUAUCUCUACAUCAUUUCCAAUGAGUAGAUUGUUAUUUACCCACAAGAUCUUAAAAUACCAUCAUGUUUCCCUGCACUUUCUUAUACAUAUUUGUUAUGAAAUUAUCGGGUUACAUCAUACAAAUGCUAAUAUCAAGAUAAUCAUUUUCGUUCACCAUAUAAGAAUUAUAAAAUUAAUUUUCUUAAAUUUGGCCAAAUAUUAAGGGGUAUACAACAUAUUUGAUUUUUUCUAAUGUGAAGAAUAGUUCUCAAAGAAAAAAAAAAUCAUAUAAAGGGUCACCAAUUCCAAUUAUGUGCUAGGAUAAUACUAUUGGUUGCAAACAGAUGAGUUGUAGAAAAAAAAAAGUAACAAGCUAAGUAAAACAAAUAUUUUUUUCCUUUUGGAGUACAAAAGUUUUUUUUUUUUCCUUCAACUUGCCUAAUCCUCUAGCAAAAUCACAUAUAUCUUGUUUUUUUCCAUUAUAGUGUAAGACAUUAAGGGUCUGUUUGGGAACGUUUUCAAAAAUUAUUUUUAAAAAAUAGUUUUAUCAUGUUUUCUAGAACAAAAGUUUAUUUGAGAAUUUGAAAUGUUUUUAACUUAUUGUCAAUGUUUCCAAAUAUUUUUUUUAAAAAAUUUAUUAAUGAUGCUUCAUUUUCAAUUGUUAUUCAUAUUUGUCCCUUUUUUAAAAAACAACUAAAAAUAACUAAAAUACGUUUUGAGAAAACACCUUAAUUUCUAUUUUUAAAAAUAAUUUUUUUCUAAUUAUCAAACAUAUUUUCUUUUUUUUUUUUCCUUAAAAAAUAGAAAAACAGUUUUGAGAAUAAACAACAAACCAGCUCACCAUAAUACUUUUCUUAGAAAGUAACUUGUUGCAAUCAAACACCUUUUGCCAAAAUAAACCCGUUCUCCAAAAUAAUAAAUUACAUUCUAACAAAUACACCAUGUCAACAUAUUGAUAAUGGUAAAAUCAUUCAUUCAUAUUUUAUAAUCUCAUUAGAAUUAAUUGACUGUAAAAAUAAAAAUAAAAAUGGUAUAAUGAAAUGGUAAGUGGCUGCUAAUUAAUAUCUGUUGUAGUAAUACUAAAGCCUAAAUUACCUAGUAAUUCUGGUUGAAAAAAAAAAAACCAAAUAUAAGAUCAUUAAGGCUUCUAAUAUCUAGGUUGUCAUCUUUUGGGAUCAGCAUUAAUGUGUUUAGUUAUUUAAAUUAAAAAGAUUAAUUGUUUAAUGAAACUAACAAAAACCUUAAUCUAAAAUAUAUAAAGAUAAAAAUAUAAAUGAAGUUUUCUAAAAUAUGAAAACUUCUAAUUCAUUUUAAAAUAGAUAAAAAUUUAUAUGAAUUUUUAAAAUACUAUAACUCAUUAUUAAAGUUCUUCUAAUGUUUUUAUUCAUUUUUAAUGGAAAUAUAUAUUUAUAAUGUUGGUAUAAAUGAGUUUGUAAAGUAGAAGAGAUUAAAAAAUUAAAAAGGAAAAAAAAAACGGUGCACAUGAUCUAAAGAUGAGUGAAUUUGUAACAUUAAAAAAUUAAAAAGAAAAGAAAAGAAAAAGAUACAUUUGGGAACAUGGAUAAAAAAAAUUAAAAAUAAUACUUGAGAGGUAGAUGUAGCAAUAGAUAUAAGUUUAUAAAGUAUAUCCACAGCAUACUUAGGGAGCUACUAUUUUUGGGCACUUGGGGAUGAUUAUUUUGGGUUUUGGGCCUAUGAGUCAUAUACUUCAAAGUUCAAAGUAAUGUCACCAAAUGUUAUUAUUAUUAUUAUUAUUUUCAAAAUUGGGCCUUUUAAUUGUAAUACUUAACAAUAAUCACCAAAUUCACUACAUAUAGACAUGCAAGAAGAGUUUCAUGAAAGUUAGGAAUAACAUCAAAGUAAGAGUGAGUUUGAGACAGGUGUUGUAACACCCGGACAUUUUCUUUUAAGGGUAAUUUAGGAAAUUAUUAUUACUAAUUAAAUUAAUUAAUUAAUUAAUUUAAUAAAGUGGAAGAGGGGUAAAAGUAUAAUUUUACGAAUAAAUACCCUAGGUAUAAAUUAGAAAUUUUAUUCUUUCCCUUCUUUUCUGAAUAGAGUUCCUGUUCGCAGAAUUCCAGAGAACGUAAGGUUGGAGUCAGAUUUCAGGGUUGAAGAACAAAUCUCUAUAGGUAAGAUUCUAACCCCUAGUUUAAUAUUUUAGAUUCAUUAGUUAAUUUCAAACACAUUAGAUAUAUUUUUUUUGGAAAACCCCAAAUCUAGAUUAGGGUUAGAUUAUUUUUUUUAAUUCGUUUUAAUAUCAAAUAGUGAAAAUUUAAUAUUUUGAUUUUAGUAUUGGAAUUUGGGAGAUCUUAAGUUUUAUUAGAAAAAAAAAAAUUGCUUGGAAUAUUUUGAUUUUAGGUUAGGGUUAAUUAAAAAAAAAUAAAAAAAUAAUAAUAAUAAAAAAAUAAAAAUGAGGAAGAACGCGUGUGCACUGGAAGGAAGGAAGGAAGGAAAAAAAAAAAAAUGGGGGCAUGCGUACUGUGCUACUGGAAGCAUUAAAAAAAAAGAAAAAAAAAAAAAAGAAAAAGUGUGUGCGUGUGCCAGCCUGCAUGUAUAUGUGUAUAUAUAUAUAUAUAUAUAUAUAUAUAUAUAUAUAUAUAUAUAUAUAUAUAUAUAUAUAUAUAUAUAAUGAAUCAUCAUUAGACAAAAAAAAAAAAAAAAAAACUUUGCUUUUUGGUGUGUACCCGAGGAAUGGUUGGGUGGAAAAACCUUACUUUUUGGUGUGUACCCGAGGGAUGGUUAGGUGGCUUUUGAAUUGAUUAAUUAAAAUAAUAAUAUUUAGUUUUAGAUUUAUAAUUAAGAUAAUAGUAAUAAUAGAUUUAGCAAUAUAUAUAUAUAUAUAUAUAUAUAUAGAGUUUUAUAAUGAAAUAAAAUUGUAAUUUAAUUAAAUUAGUAGUGUGUUAUUAGAAACAAAUUGGGAAUUUAUUAGUUUUAUUUAAAUAAGGAAUAGAUUAGUUAAAUUAUAAAUAAAUAGUAUUAAUUGUUUCUCUUAUAUUAUAUUAGGUGAAGAGUAGAUUAUAUCUUUUUCAGAAUUAUUCUUCUCCCAAGCUUUCAAGGACUUCUUUUGAGGUAAGGGAAGUUAAUGCAAUAUUUAUAAAAUUAAAUUAUUUUAUAUGUUAUUUUGAAUUGUGGAAAAUAAAAUUAUAUUUUGUUACCAUGCAUGGAUCAAAUUGUUUUGCACUAAAUAUUAUGUUGGAAUAUUUUGUUUUAUUUAUGAUACAAAAUAUGGAGAUAUUAUGUUGUGUAAAUUUGAAUACUUGAACAAAAACAUCACUCUGGUUUAUUUGGCCCUUGUCAACCGGAUAUAAUAGUUGACUAUUCGGCCCUGUCAACGGGAUAUAAUAGUUGACCUUUACAUUUCAUGGUGGGAAUGUAAUUGAUUUGAACCCCAGCCUCUAGGGGUUUGGUUAGAGGUUACUAGUACUAGUAGUGUUUGGUUCCGUCCACCAGAAACAAUUUGAGGCUAGCCACCCAUUUGAAAAGUCCCACCUAACUGGGCAUUUGAUAUUUGAUAACCAGAGUAAUGAAAAAUUGAAUGGAUUUGAUUGAGUCUGAUGUGAAAGUGUUUGAAUUUGAUGUGAAAUUGGUUGGUUGAAUUUUGAAUAUAUUGGUAUUUUUGAAACUCUAAUAUUUGAAAAAAAAAAAUUGAUAUCUCCUAUUUGAAAUGAAAAUAUUUGAUCCAUGAAUUGCAUUAAUAUUCCUUAUUGGGCCGUGAGCUCAUUCCCAGUUGUUGAAAAUUUUUCAGGUACUCUUAGUUCGGGUGAGGAGUGAUGGCUAGGCUGAGGAAUGGUCAUCAUUAGGAUUUGACUUAGGAUUUUAUGUUGGAUUUUGUUUAACUAUUAGUUAUGUUAUUUUGGAUCAUUUGGUAUUUGGAAGUUAUUUGGAAAUUGAAUUUUGAGGAUUUUAGAUUUUGUUUCCGCUACUCUGAGCAGAUAUUUGGUAAUUGGUAACAUCCAGUUACAAUAUGACCAUUUGGGUCAGAUUAUACUUUAAGCCUUCGGGUUUGAGGUGUGAAAUGACCGUCACGCCCUUGGAGUGGGUCUUGGGGCGUGACAGNNNNNNNNNNNNNNNNNNNNNNNNNNNNNNNNNNNNNNNNNNNNNNNNNNNNNNNNNNNNNNNNNNNNNNNNNNNNNNNNNNNNNNNNNNNNNNNNNNNNUUUUUCAGGUACUCUUAGUUCGGGUGAGGAGUGAUGGCUAGGCUGAGGAAUGGUCAUCAUUAGGAUUUGACUUAGGAUUUUAUGUUGGAUUUUGUUUAACUAUUAGUUAUGUUAUUUUGGAUCAUUUGGUAUUUGGAAGUUAUUUGGAAAUUGAAUUUUGAGGAUUUUAGAUUUUGUUUCCGCUACUCUGAGCAGAUAUUUGGUAAUUGGUAACAUCCAGUUACAAUAUGACCAUUUGGGUCAGAUUAUACUUUAAGCCUUCGGGUUUGAGGUGUGAAAUGACCGUCACGCCCUUGGAGUGGGUCUUGGGGCGUGACAGAGUGGUAUCAGAGCACUAGGUUGUGAUCUUGAUGGGAACUUGUUUAGUGUACCUUUGGGAAUAGAUGAGUGACGUAUUAGUUUAAGUUUCAACUUCAUCUAGUCUGAUUCCUUUUAUUCCUUACAAUUCUGACUUGCUUAUUUGACUUCUUAGUGACUAAUUUAGUUACACCUAUUGCUUUAUAGGACACCAUGCCACCAAGGAGACCUGCAUCUUCCCAAAACAGUCAGGCUAAUGAUGAUGUACCUCCAAUUGAGGGUUUGCCUCCCGUGAGUGCAGAAGGGAUCUAUAGGUAUCUUGGGACACUAGCUGGUUUAGUUGAACGCCAAGCUCGAGCUGUUGGGACUAAUGUUCAGGGACAGUCUUCAUCUUUUAGGGGUAGCUCUUUUGAUGACUUCAAGAAAUUGGGUCCUCCUUACUUUUCUGGUGCUACAGAUCCCACAGAGGCAGAGGCUUGGAUCCUUAAGAUGGAGAAAUUCUUUGGUGUCAUAGAUUGCUCUGAGGAGCAAAAAGCCUCUUAUGCAGCUUUUAUGUUAGAUAAAGAGGCAGAUCAUUGGUGGCGUAUGACUAGGAGACUUUUGGAGGAUCAGGGGCCCAUAACAUGGAGACAAUUUAGGGAGGCUUUCUACAAGAAGUAUUUCCCUGACAGUGUUAGACGGCAGAAGGUGGGAGAGUUUAUUCGUUUGGAACAGGGGGAUAUGACUGUGGCUCAGUAUGAGGCCAAAUUUACAGAGUUAUCACGUUUUUCCCCACAGUUGAUUGCUAUAGAGGAGGAAAAGGCAUUAAAGUUUCAGGAUGGAUUGAAGCCUUAUUUGAAGAACAAGAUAUCUAUUCUGAAGCUUGGUGUCUAUUCAGAGGUUGUUGAUAGAGCCCUUAUAGCAGAGAAAGAUAAUGAAGAGCUUCAUCAGUAUAGGGAACAGCAAAGGAAGCGAAAUAGGAGUGAUGGUGCUCAUGGUAAUCAAGCACAGCGAAGGUCUACAUCAGGAAGAAAUCAGAAUAAAGGGAAGGCAGCGUAGAAUUUAGAUGGGGCUUGUCCUACUUGUGGUAAGAAGCAUGGGGGUAGGCCAUGCUAUAGAGAGACUGGAGCUUGCUUUGGUUGUGGGAAGUAAGGACAUUUGAUCAGAGAUUGUCCAGAGAAUAGGAAGUUUAUCAUUGGGAAGCCUAAAGAGGAAAAUAAGGAGGAUAAACAGAAACCCAAAGCCCAAGGACGGGUGUUUGCUAUGACUCAUCGAGAUGCUCAGGCCACUUCUGAUGUGGUGACAGGUACUCUCCGAAUCCACACCUUAUUUGCUAGAGUCUUGAUUGAUCCUGGAUCAACACAUUCUUUUGUUUCAGUAUCUUUUGCUGGUUUGUUGGGUUUGCCUGUUGCUAGCAUGGACUUUAAUUUGAUUGUUGCUACUCCUGUGGGAGAUUCUGUUGUGGCUAGUAGAAUGCUUAGAAAUUGUAUUGUGAUGAUUGGUUAUAGGGAAAUGCCAGUUGAUUUAGUACUCCUUGACCUUCAGGAUUUUGAUGUGAUUUUGGGGAUGGAUUGGUUAGCUUCCUACCAUGCCUCUGUUGAUUGUUUUGAGAAAAGGGUGACGUUUAGUAUUCCUGGUCAGCCUAAUUUUAGCUUUGAAGGGAAGCAGGUGGACAGACCACUGCGUAUGAUCUCAGCCUUGCGAGCUAGUAGCUUGCUUAAGAAGGGUUGCCAAGGAUUUUUGGCUAGUGUGGUGAGUAAUGAAAGUGAUUUGAAGUUGGAAGACAUACCCAUAGUAAGGGAGUAUCCUGAUGUCUUUCCAGAGGAUUUGCCUGGCUUGCCACCAGAGAGAGAGGUGGAGUUCACUAUCGAUUUGGUACCAGGAACAGGUCCUAUGUCUAAGGCCCCAUACAGGAUNNNNNNNNNNNNNNNNNNNNNNNNNNNNNNNNNNNNNNNNNNNNNNNNNNNNNNNNNNNNNNNNNNNNNNNNNNNNNNNNNNNNNNNNNNNNNNNNNNNNGCGUGAUAUUGCACAAUUUGUGGCUCAGUGUUUAGUGUGUCAACAGGUGAAGGCUGAACAUCAGCGACCAGCAGGGUCUUUACAGCCACUUGCUAUUCCUGAGUGGAAGUGGGAGCAUAUUACCAUGGAUUUUGUGAUAGGAUUGCCAAGAACCUUAGGGGGGUAAUAAUGCUAUUUGGGUGAUUGUUGAUCGGUUGACAAAGUCUGCUCACUUUUUGCCUAUGAAAGUCAACUUUUCUUUAGAUCGUUUAGCUUCUCUUUAUGUGAAGGAGAUUGUGAGAAUGCAUGGAGUACCAGUUUCUAUAGUGUCUGACAGAGAUCCUCGUUUCACUUCUAGAUUCUGGCAUAGUCUACAAAAAGCUUUGGGCACUAAGUUGAGUUUUAGUACUGCUUUCCAUCCUCAAACUGAUGGCCAAUCAGAAAGGGUAAUUCAGGUUUUGGAAGACUUGUUGAGAGCUUGUAUUUUGGACCUGCAAGGUAAUUGGGAUGAUCAUUUACCUUUAGUAGAGUUUGCCUAUAACAAUAGUUUUCAAGCUAGCAUUGGGAUGACACCUUUUGAGGCAUUGUAUGGUAGGAAAUGUCGAUCUCCUAUCUGUUGGAAUGAUGUUGGAGAAAGGAAACUUUUGGGCCCUGAACUUGUGCAGUUGACUGUUGAAAAAGUUGCUUUGAUUAAAGAGAGAUUAAAAGCAGCUCAAAGUAGACAUAAGAGUUAUGCUGAUCAUCGUAGGCGAGAUUUGGAGUUUGAGGUGGGUGAUCAUGUGUUCUUGAAAGUUUCACCUAUGAAGUCUGUGAUGAGAUUUGGGAGAAAAGGAAAACUUAGUCCUCGUUUUGUGGGUCCGUUUGAAAUAUUAGAAAGAGUAGGCACUUUGGCAUAUAAAGUAGCCUUGCCCCCAAGCCUGUCUAAGGUUCAUAAUGUGUUUCAUGUUUCGACUCUAAUUAAGGAAGUAUAUUUAUGAUCCUUCUCAUGUUGUGGAGUUGGAGCCUAUUCAAAUUUUUGAGGACUUGACCUAUGAAGAGGUACCCGUUCAAAUUGUGGAUGUGAUGGAUAAGGUACUACGACAUGCUGUUGUCAAGUUGGUAAAGGUCCAGUGGAGCAAUCAUAGUAUCCGAGAGGCCACUUGGGAGUUAGAAGAAGAGAUGAGAGAAAAGCAUCCUCAAUUAUUUCAAGACUUAGGUAUGUCAAGUUUAGAGGACUAAACUUUUGUUAAGGAGGGGAGGAUGUAACACCCGGGCAUUUUCUUUUAAGGGUAAUUUAGGAAAUUGUUAUUACUAAUUAAAUUAAUUAAUUAAUUAAUUUAAUAAAGUGGAAGAGGGGUAAAAGUGUAAUUUUACGAAUAAAUACCCUAGGUAUAAAUUAGAAAUUUUAUUCUUUCCCUUCUUUUCUGAAUAGAGUUCCUGUUCGCAGAAUUCCAGAGAACGUAAGGUUGGAGUCAGAUUUCAGGGUUGAAGAACAAAUCUCUAUAGGUAAGAUUCUAACCCCUAGUUUAAUAUUUUAGAUUCAUUAGUUAAUUUCAAAUACAUUAGAUAUUUUUUUUUUUGGAAAACCCCAAAUCUAUAUUAGGGUUAGAUUAUUUUUUUUAAUUCGUUUUAAUAUCAAAUAGUGAAAAUUUAAUAUUUUUAUUUUAGUAUUGGAAUCUGGGAGAUCUUAAGUUUUAUUAGAAAAAAAAAAAAAUUGCUUGGAAUAUUUUGAUUUUAGGUUAGGGUUAAUUAAAAAUAAUAAUAAUAAUAAUAAUAAUAAUAAUAAUAAUAAUAAAAAGGAGGAAGAACGCGUGUGCACUGGAAGGAAGGAAGGAAGGAAAAAAAAAAAAAUGGGGGCAUGCGUACUGUGCUACUGGAAGCAUUAAAAAAAAAAGAAAAAAAAAAAAAAGAAAAAGUGUGUGCGUGUGCCAGCCUGCAUGUAUAUGUGUGUAUAUAUAUAUAUAUAUAUAUAAUGAAUCAUCAUUAGACAAAAAAAAAAAAAAAACUUUGCUUUUUGGUGUGUACCCGAGGAAUGGUUGGGUGGAAAAACCUUACUUUUUGGUGUGUACCCGAGGGAUGGUUAGGUGGCUUUUGAAUUGAUUAAUUAAAAUAAUAAUAUUUAGUUUUAGAUUUAUAAUUAAGAUAAUAGUAAUAAUAGAUUUAGCAAUAUAUAUAUAUAUAUAUAUAUAUAUAUAUAUAUAUAUAUAUAUAUAUAGAGUUUUAUAAUGAAAUAAAAUUGUAAUUUAAUUAAAUUAGUAGUGUGUUAUUAGAAACAAAUUGGGAAUUUAUUAGUUUUAUUUAAAUAAGGAAUAGAUUAGUUAAAUUAUAAAUAAAUAGUAUUAAUUGUUUCUCUUAUAUUAUAUUAGGUGAAGAGUAGAUUAUAUCUUUUUCAGAAUUAUUCUUCUCCCAAGCUUUCAAGGACUUCUUUUGAGGUAAGGGAAGUUAAUGCAAUAUUUAUAAAAUUAAAUUAUUUUAUAUGUUAUUUUGAAUUGUGGAAAAUAAAAUUAUAUUUUGUUACCAUGCAUGGAUCAAAUUGUUUUGCACUAAAUAUUAUGUUGGAAUAUUUUGUUUUAUUUAUGAUACAAAAUAUGGAGAUAUUAUGUUGUGUAAAUUUGAAUACUUGAACAAAAACAUCACUCUGGUUUAUUUGGCCCUUGUUAACGGGAUAUAAUAGUUGACUAUUCGGCCCUGUCAACGGGAUAUAAUAGUUGACCUUUACAUUUCAUGGUGGGAAUGUAAUUGAUUUGAACCCCAGCCUCUAGGGGUUUGGUUAGAGGUUACUAGUACUAGUAGUGUUUGGUUCCGUCCACCAGGAACAAUUUGAGGCUAGCCACCCAUUUGAAAAGUCCCACCUAACUGGGCAUUUGAUAUUUGAUAACCAGAGUAAUGAAAAAUUGAAUGGAUUUGAUUGAGUAUGAUGUGAAAGUGUUUGAAUUUGAUGUGAAAUUGGUUGGUUGAAUUUUGAAUAUAUUGGUAUUUUUGAAACUCUAAUAUUUGAAAAAAAAAAAAAUUGAUAUCUCCUAUUUGAAAUGAAAAUAUUUGAUCCAUGAAUUGCAUUAAUAUUCCUUAUUGGGCCGUGAGCUCAUUCCCAGUUGUUGAAAAUUUUUCAGGUACUCUUAGUUCGGGUGAGGAGUGAUGGCUAGGCUGAGGAAUGGUCAUCAUUAGGAUUUGACUUAGGAUUUUAUGUUGGAUUUUGUUUAACUAUUAGUUAUGUUAUUUUGGAUCAUUUGGUAUUUGGAAGUUAUUUGGAAAUUGAAUUUUGAGGAUUUUAGAUUUUGUUUCCGCUACUCUGAGCAGAUAUUUGGUAAUUAGUAACAUCCAGUUACAAUGUGACCAUUUGGGUCAGAUUAUACUUUAAGCUUUCGGGUUUGAGGUGUGAAAUGACCGUCACGCCCUUGGAGUGGGUCUUGGGGCGUGACAGGUGUACCCCAUUUCGACUUCAUCCCCUUUAUGUAAACCUAUUCUCAUCCUCAUUUUAAUAAAAGAUUAAAAUGGGGUAAGACAAAAUGGGUAUGAAAUUUUUCUAUAUCCAACCCCUUUAUUUUUAAUUUUUUAUUUUAAAAAUCCUAAUUAUAUUAAAAAUAAUAUAUUUGAUGAAUGAAUAAAUAAUAUAAAUUUUUAUAACUCAUUUUUAUUUGAGAAGUAGAUUAUUAUUAUUUUUUUUUGAAAAUGAGAAAAUAAAAAUUUUAUAAAAUUAUACACGAGGUAAGACAAGGCAAUUGUUGUAAUCAUAGGGUUUAAAAAAAAAAAAAUCUCAAAGUUAAACCUCAUCCGCUUAAUUUCAUCCCAAACUCAUUUUAUUUUUGACAAGGUGAGGCUAAUACCCUAAAAUUCUCAGCUCCAUUGACAUUCCAAAUGGAUGUGGAGACAUAAAAGAUAAUAGGGUUCUAUGCUACUACAACAAAAGUAAUUUCGAACGAAACUAUUGUUAAAAAUACUCCAAAUUAACCAGUGCUAUAUAACUUUAGACAUUAAUUUUUAUGGUACUUUUACCCAUAAUUUUACACAAUGAUUUCAAAUACUAUUUGCAAUAGGCUUAUUGAUCUAAAGCCAUCUUCCAAAAGCAAUAUAAACUCUGAGCUGAUUAAUGAAAAUAGAAAUUCAAGGAAAAUUCUCCAAAUAUGUCCAAAUAUCACCAUGAUCCGAAGAUAUUUUGUAUAGAAUACUAGUUUAGAUGAUUAAAGAUAGUUUGUAUAAAACAUUGGUCUCCAUUUUGAAAGAUAUAUAUUUUGUACAAAGAGAAUUGGUGCUUGUUGGCUUCUUCUUUUUGUUUUUGUUUCUUCUUUUCUUGACUCCUUGAGGGGUCCAUGAUGGAAAAGCUUCCAAAUUCAUUUUUGUCCAUGAUCUCCUGGUCCAAAAUAUUAAUCAAAUAUAAUAUGUCCAACAAGAUUAGCGGAUAUGUUUAACCACAUCCACAUCCACAUCCACAUCCAAGGUAAGUUAGUAGAUUCUUCAUUGCACUGUAAAGAACUCAAUUGAAAGAGAAAACACAUCCAAAUCUUGAGCACUAAAAUAUUUCCUAUUUUCCGAUUUGCCUUAAAUUAUGAGCUUUGUUCCAUCCCAUAUCUCCCACCUUUUCUCAUUAUCUCAUAAAGCAAGACCUAAAAUAUUUAUGAAAUAUUUCUAUCACAUUUACUCAUCUAUAAGGAAACAUAUUUCUAUAAUAAAACAUAUUUUUAUAAAUAAAUAUGAAUAUAUAAAAUAUUUUAUACAAUAUUAAUCUUUAUUAAAGCAAUAUAUAUAUACUAAAAAAGAAUUUAAGACAAUUUUUAGUAAUUUCCAUGCCUUGAUUCAAAUUUCAUCAAAUCAGUUUUUCAUCUUAAGGUGAUAUAUAGUACAUCAAGUUAACUAAAGUGGCUUCAUCCUUUUCCAACACAAAAAAAAAAAAAAAAAAAAAAAAAAAUCCAAAAGAGAUAAAAAUUGAAUAGGAGUGUUUGGCUUGAAAAAAGGAAAUAGAAUGGAAGCAAAAAGUAACAAAAAAACUAUAUAUAAAAAGGAAUCUUAUUUUAUUGUAUAUAAAAGUUGAAGAAAAGAAAAUCAAAUCAUGAGAACCAAAUUUUCCAAACCUUUAAUUAAAAAGAAAAGAAGAAGAAGAAGAAGAAAACCUUUUAAGAUUUUUCUUUUUUCUUUUUUUUCUUUUCUUUUCCCUAUUAUAAAAACAUAAGAAAUCAGUUUAAAAAAAAAAAGUCAUUUUCAAGGUACUUUCAGAACCAAACAUAGUGUAGAAGUUAACAAAGAUAAAUUUAAAGUUUAAUAGCUUUAAAUUAUUUCACAUUCUCAUAAGCGACCAUAGGACAAAAAACUUCCCGUCACUAUUGACCUAUGAAAUACUUAGAAUCUUCAAGAUAGAUUAUAAUAGUUCAGUUGCAAUCUGAUGAUUUUUCCAGUAAUUGAUUGGAUUAAUUAAUAGUUCACUAGCUAUAAUAAUUCAGUUCAUUGGAUUAAUUAAUAGUUCCAUAGUUAUAAUUGUGAUUAUAUGAAUACUACUUACAAGGAGCUGAAUAGUUGUAUUAGGCUUAAUGAAUGGGUUAUUUUCCAUACUUUUUGUUGUUGGGUACCGGCAUUUCCUCUAAAGCCAAACAAAGUAUUUUAUUGUCUACGAAUUCAUGUGGUAAUAUUGUGGUUAAGGGUUUAAGAUUUAUUUAUUUUGUUUGAUUAUUGAGAUAUAUUUAAUUCACUUCAUAAAAUAGACCCUAAAAGUGGGGAGAUUCUUUUUCGUUUUCUUUUUCCUUUCCUUCUCUAAUAUGCUACUCUGAUCAUCACUUUUUGAUUAUAGAGACUGAGAUCAUCGAAUGGCUCAACAAGAAGACUCAGUUGUCUGCUGCAUUUGUUAAAAGAUGGAACAUUAGAACUCUGGAAUCUGGUAGUGGAAAUAGAAGUCAUUACCUGUUUGUUUGUCCGGACAGAUUUGUAGGUUUAGAUCUUGAGAACUUAUGUCAAUGUGGUUUAAAUAUCAAGGGUUAGAUCAAAUCUGUAUCUGAACUUGUAAUUUUUGCUGCUUGGAUGUGGAUAUGAACUUGUUGGUCCAAACAACUGGUCAGACAACUUUAGGACUAGUUACAUCCAUAUCUCACAGGAAUAGAGGAAAAAACUUUUAACAUUAUAUUAAUAUAAACUCUUCUUAAUUUUAUGAACACGUUUUAAAAUCAUAAGAGUCCCUUUAGGCUUAGUGUGGAUGAUAUCCAUACGGUUGGGAGUGAGCCAAUAAAUGGUAUUAAAACCAAUUAAUAUUCGAUCCAAAUAUGGGGGUUUAUUUGAUCUUUUGUAGAAAGGUGUACAUCUAUUUGGCAUGAUAAGUAUAGAAGGUGAUUGUGAUAUCCCACUUUUGAUGAGGGAAAAAAUUUCUUAUGCACUAUACUCCUCUUAAUUUUAUAAACAUGCUUUAAAGUUAAAAAUGUGAGAUAGCAAGGAACUAAAGUUAUUUUGCAUAGUAUAAAUAAGUAUUAAUAUGAGAAUAAAUUAGAAACAAUUAUCAAGUGUUGUCAAUAACAAAAUCCUUUUUAAAAAUCCAAGUAGGAAAAAAUGUUUUCUUAAUUUAUUCUCAUAUAAUGCAAUAAUUUCUAAAGUAUUCUUCAUAUUUUAAAUUAUUUGUUAUAAUACUCGACAAAAAUAAUUUAACAAAAUAUCUUAAAACACUUUAAAUUCGUUUUGAAAUAUAACUUAUUUUACAAAAAAAAAAAUGUUAAACAAACUCUUUUCAAUAAAAAAAAAUUGUUAAACAUAUUUUGUGAUGUCUUACGUCGAAUAGAGGAGAAAGCUCCUAGUAUUAUAUAAGUAUGAACUCCUUUUAAUCCUAUAAACAUAUUUUAAAGUUGUGAGGGCCCCUUUGGACUUAAAGCGAACGAUAUCUACAUAGUUGAGUGCAGAUCGUUACAAAUUAGUCCAUUUUUGUCUCAUAUUUAAAUUAGCUAAUUAACUUGAUUUCCAUUAUAAGGACCCAACUAGUGGCAUUUCAAAUAUAAAUCAAUAUCAAAUAUUAAUAUUGAUAAAGGCAAGGUAUCUACUAUAUCAAAGUGGUAGAAGUAUCUUAAUGUCUUAUCACCUUUGUCAAGAUGCAUGUAUUGGCUUUACCACCUUAUUAAGAUGUAUGUGUUAAUAUCCUUAAGGCUUUAUCAUACAAAUGAAAACAACAAGUGGAAAUAUGUUAUAACACAACAAUUGUUUUUCUAACAACAAUUGUUUUUUUGGAAAUGAGUGGUCCCUUUCAACUUAGGUUCAUAAUCAUAGAUAUUUUGUAUAGCUUAUGUCUAUUUUCAGAGAUAUUUUAUGUACAAUAUUGGUUGUAAUAUAUAUAUAUAUAUAUAUAUAUGGAGUCAGAAAAUACACAAGAUAUUUAACACAAGAAAUUUAAAGAGAAGGAACCAAAAACUUGUUAGUUCAUAAGCUUAAAACCAUCCAUGAUAGGAGGUACAAGAAGAUAAAAUGAAAAACAAAACUUAAUUAAAAACCAUCCAUAUUAGAGGUAAUCAAAACAUACUUAUAUUAUACAUAAGGAGAUGAAUAUCUUACAAUGGAAGAGGGGAGGAAAGCUUUGAGAAAAGCUUGAAGGCUUGAAGGCUUACAUGAUGAGAGAGAAAGAAGAGAAAAGAAAGAGCAUAAGGAAGGGAAAAUUACAGCCAAAUUUUUUCAUGCUUACAAAUGAGGAUCAAGCCUCCUUAAAUAGCUAAAAGGAAUCUUAAAAUAGUAAAAAGUAGCUGAUAGGGUACUAUUUGCUUUUGGCCAUAGUGGUGAAUAGUAAACCCGUGCUUGAAUAGUAAAAGUGAACAGUAAAAAAGGAACUGUAGCACUUUAGACUUCUUGACCUGGAAUCUUGCUUUCGGCUGACAGCUGGUAGGCUAGAUUAUAGACUGUGUAUUCACAUGCUGGGAAUAAAGCUGAAAACGACUUGGAAAGAGUAAACUUGUCUUGUUGCUGAAGAAUCACGAGAAAAAUGCUUAGGGUAGAGUAUAAUCCUUCCGAUGUUCAUCCAGAAGCUUAACAUCACCCGUAACAGUCUUUAUAGAUGGAGGAUCAAUUUCUUACUGUAGAAGAUUUGUUGAAGAGGAUCUGCAGCAACAAGAAAUCUCAUACCUUUUGGAUAUGCUUUAAAAUCUCUACUAAUGACUCUUGCUCUCCAAUGCUUGAUAUGCUUAAUAAGGGGUUCUGCACAAAUGUUAGAGAACUAUAAAGGGCAAGAAAUCUUGGUAGGCCUUCUGUUUUGGUAAUGGAAAGAAGCAAUGUGUUGUGCUGGUAGAAGAUUCCCAUUAGAGGACCACUCAGGAGCCUUGCUGAUGAUAAUGGCAUCAGCAAACUUUUUAUUCAUCUUAAAACCUUGAGUUAAACCAAAAACCAUCUUUCUUCCAAACUUUGAAGCUUGACAUGGAUCCGAGCAAAUGAUUUGGUGGACUAAUCCAUAAUCCAGAAGUAAUUCUGGAGUUAAGAUCAAAUCCUGGUCUUUAAAAGGAAGGAUGAUUGGCAGGUAAUAUUGCAAAUCAUGACAUACCCGACUGAUUGUGAAAUUUCUAUUGCAAUUGCAAGACAUCUCCUUAAGGCCUUGUUGAUAUUGAAUAGGAUCUUUGAUAGUUCUGCAAAGUUUAGAGUCAUCAAAUUCCCUAUCCAUGACCAAACUUAAACUUGGGAUCCGAAUACCAAUAGUAGCGAAUAGGUAGAUGUGAAGAUCCUGGAGGUAUGCUGAGAUGAAGACUUGCUUUUCUUCAGCAGUUGCUUUGGCUUUUUCAAAGAUUAAGAGACGUAGAUCCUGUUUAAGGGGAUACAACAUUUCUUUCCUAUGAAAAAACAUCCUUAUCUUAAGGUAGUUCCACUCAUCCUCACUCAACUUUUUUACUUCAUCCACCAGUGGGGUGGACUGCUUAUUCUCAUCAAUUUCCAGUGGGGAAACUAAGGCUAGGGCAUUUAACAUGAGCUGAUGAAAGUCAACUAAUUCUAGUUUUCUUUCCAAAGUCUGACAUUUUUCCUGUAGAUUAGUGAUACAAUUAAUAUAAUAAGAUAAAGGGUUAAGAUGGAUUUGUGGACAAGGAAUCUUCCACAGAAGGUGGAGAAUCCAAACUUGAAUCUUUUUCCCUACAAGGGGAAGCUGAAGGAAAAGGAUGUUUGGAGUAGCUGCAAGAACCUGCAACAUCAAAAUGAUCAUAAUAGAGUGACAUGAAUUUCUCAGGAAGAACUGGAUGGGCUUUCUUAAUAUUUGAAGAUUUUUUAUUUAGUUUAAGAGGUUGUUUCUCUUUUUUGGGGGCCAUGUUCUUGUGAAUCCUGCUAAAAAUUCAUGAAUUAGGAAAUCAGGGAUUGAGUUAUUUUCUCCUUUAAUAUACUCAAUUUGAAAAUCAAAAUUGCUUAAAAUAGCUUGCCAUCUAGCAAAAAUAUGCUUAAAAGCUAUAUUCUUAACUCUUUUUGUAAAACUGAUUUUGCAGAUAAGCAAUCAACUCUUAAUAAAAAUUCUUGAUUUAAAAGAUCAUCUUGAAAUUUUGAAAUGCAUAAGACAAUGCUUAAAAUUUCUUUUUUAAUGGUGCUAUAGUUGAGUUGGGUACUAUUCCAAGUUCCAGAAGUAUACCUAACCAACUUUUCUUGGGUAUCAAUUUUCUGCUUAAGAAUACCACCAUAUCCCAUAUCUGAGGCAUCAGUCUCAACAAUCUUAAAGGCUAUUGGGUCAGCUAGGGCAAGACACGAUAGGGUCUUAACUCUAGAUUUGACAAUCUUGACAAUCUUGGUAUUGUAGACCCUCAAUUUUGUCCAUUUAGCACAUGUCUUUAAACUCGCUUUCGGUGCUCCACAAUAGUUCCUUGGUGGCCCAUUACUACUCGUACAACUUACCUUUUUCUGAGUCACCCCGGAGAUUUUGGUUGAGGGAUUAUCUGGCUCCUUAUUGUGACCUUUGGCAACCCUAAUUUAGACUUAGACUUUUCAUUCACUUAGGAUAGUUUUAGAUACACUUGGCCCAUUAGACACCACCCUAGGCCCACUUAGGCCCAUUUAGGCACACUUGGCACAUUAAGACUUUUUAGCGUGACGUGUAUAACUUGCAUGUUUGCAUGGCUUGUGGGGCUCAGUUUUUUGUUUAUUUUUAUUUUUAUUUUUAGUUUUAGUUUUAAGAUUAUCAACCACUCGUUUAUUAUUUAUUUAUUUAUUUUUAUUUGUUAUCUCCCUCUUUAUAUUAUUUUUCCUUAACUUAUUUAUUUAUUAUUGUUUUACUGUUUCUAAUUUGUUUAUUUAUUUAGUUAUUCAUUCAAUUAUUCACUUUCAAAAAUUUCAUGCUUUUGCAAGGAAACUUACCAUUGGAGUUUAAGGAAAGUGGGGCUCUCCAUGGAAGGAUUUUUGGAGGGGAAUUUGAAAUUGGGAAGAUUGCUUUUGAAGGAGGAGAUUGAAAAAAAGGAAAAGAAGAAAAGAAGGGAAAGAGGAGAAUUUUCCUUUUCAGGAACAAAUUUAGGAUUUGAGAGGUGAUAUAUAUAUAUAUAUGUGAGAGAGGAUGUUGAAAAAGAAGGAGGGAAUUCUGAGGAUUUUGGGAGAAAGCACAGAGGAGCAAAAAAAAAAAUCUAGGUAUGUUUCUCGUUACUUUUGGAAUUCUCACCCAUAUCCGAUUUUUUUUUUUUUUUUUUUUUUAUGUUUAAUAUACUGUUCUUUGGUGUGGACGGAAAGAGCCACAAUUUGUUUUGUUGAUAUUGGUUAUUUGCUUGUUUGCUUCGAAUCUGUUCCUGAUCAUCCUCCCACUGAUUCGAGCCCGUUGAAUGAAAUUUGAAAUGGGGCUUUCAUGGGUUCCUUAAUUUUACCUUUUUUUUUGUGUUGUUUUCAUUCUUCACACUCUGUUUUCUCGGUUGUAUCCCUCUGUUCUCCAUGAGAAAUUUUGAGUGCAUAAUCUUAUGAGCUUCACCAAAUGAUAAUGCCUGCUGAAACUUUGAUACCAAAGCUUGGAAUGCUUUACACCGAUUGAGACACGGAUUACCAGAAAAGUGGUGAAUACGUGGUCUGAGUUUCUUCAGCUUUGGGUCUCGCUGAUACUUCAUAAUUGGAGCUUAUUUUAUGAAUCUGGGUUAAUCGUGCGAGGAGUGUGUGGAAACGUGAUGAGUAACCAGAUGGCAUGCUGAAUUUUACGAAGAGAAUACCCCAUUGUUUGUGAACUUUGUUUAAAGUGGUCCUAUCAGAAUGACUUACGAUAUGCAGCCUCAUCAACCCUAGAAAAUUGGUGCAAGACCUUCAGCUAUGAAAAAGAUCACUAAGACAUCUAGGUAGCAGUCAACAUUGUCAGUGAAUAUCAUCCAGUUGAUGCAAGACAGAAUAUCAAGUCCAAAGAUACAAAUGUUCUCUUACAGUUUGAUUAGAAGGGAUCUCAUUCAGUAGCUUGUUUGCCUGCUUAGUUCCUCUUGGGUCGUACCUGCUUUCCAUUUGUGUUUCUCUCUUUCUCUUCGUGGAGGCCAUGGGGUCAGAAUUUAGAAUCCAUUGGGUUUGGAGAGAUUGCAAGAGAAAGGUGAGGUCAGUUCCAUGUGGAGGCUAAGAGGGAGGGGCCCAAUAGAUUAAAUGGUUAUCUUUCAGAAUUGGUUGCUGCCUCAUUUUCGUCCUUUGGUUCCAUGCUGAGAAGAUAGGGCAUUAUUGAACCAGUUCUCUUUUUUGUAAAUAUGGGUACAGAUUCACUCAUCCUCCUUAAAGAUCAGAACCAGACUCAGAACCAGAGCUCGUUUUAGCACUGAGGAUGUCUCUUGAUGAUAACCACGACUCUGUGGUUUUAGCUUGUGCCAAAGUUGUUCUGUGCAUACUAAGUUGUGAUACGAACGAGUAUUUCUUUGAUGCCUCAGAGAGACUAGCAACUUGCAAGAAAGUUGUAUGUACUGCUCCUGGUGUUUCGAAGUAGACCAGAGAUUGAGUUUGGUUUCCUUCACGAUGGAUUUUGGAAAUACAACACCAAACCUUGUAAUAUUUUUCCUUUAAGUGAGGAUAUCAUGGAUACCAAGAGUGAAGAAAAACUCACCAUUCAAGAUGAUAUUGUUGUUGCUGAACAAGAUUUUUGCUGCAGGUGUGAUUAGGAUGGGAAUCCUUCUCAGAAUUCAUUAUCUGUUAGAGACCGAUCCUACAGUAGCUUUGGAAGAAUGCAUGAUAUCUACACCUAUUGCAAUAGCAAAGAAUUCCCCGACAUGUGCAAAUGCAAUCAUAAAGUGUGAAAGGCUUGUUCACACGCUUAUUGGCAGAUUUGCUGAAAAGGAUAAGAUAGGAGUCUAUCCUUUUAAGAUAAAGCCAGUCACUCUCUUGAAGGUGUUGGCUCAAUCUGAUCAGAAGAAUUGUAUAGAAUUCAUAAAGAGUGGGAUUUUCCAGGAUGCAUCUUCGAAUUUGUGUCAAUGUCCAUUGUCCCUCGAUCAGUGGAUGAAAUCAGGGAAAGAAAACUGUAAACAUGCGUCAGCUUCGAUGGUUGAACAACUACGCUUUUGGAAGAAGCAUACGUCGUUCUGGAGUCUUUGGCUAGAAGACUUUCAAAUUGUAGUUCACAGAAGCAUAUAUCAGAGCUUGUGGAUGAUGACAAAGAGAUCUGGUCAUAGAGCCAUACGAGUCCUAUAGUCAGUAUAGCUUUGAAGUGGAUAGCUUUCAAAACCAAUCCAGACAUUUCUAGACUCUUUGACCAACAAAGAGGGAUUGAGAGCGAUUCUGUUCACAAAGAUUCGGAAAUGAGACCCCUGCUAUGGGUGAUUUCAGCUGCCAUGCACAUGCUUUCUACUGUGCCCAAAAGUGUGACCUUAGAAAAUACCAUCAGCUUGCCCGAAAGUGGCAGACUCCUGACAAGACUGCCUGAAUUUGUCUCCAAAAUUGGAUUAGAAAUAAUUAAUAAUUCGUUUUUGAGCUUCCCAGGUGUGAAUGACAAAGAAUAUGGAAUUAAUUCUUCAGCAGGUUGCUCUUUCAUUGAAGAAUUGUGUCAUUUGAGACGUCAUGGUGAUUAUGAAAUAUCCUUAGAUUCUACUUGUUUCCUUCAUGGACUACUCCAGCAGGUUGUUUCCCUUAAUAAUUUGAUCCAACUGGCUAAGACUGAGUAACAAACUCCAUGUUUCCAAGGACAGAGUUUUGCAAAGAAGGGAAAAGGGAUUACCCUCUGUUGUCUACAAUAUUCUCAGCUGUGAGAGAGCAAAGCAUGAAGUGAGAAUGGCUGUAAUGUUUGUGAAGCAAGAGCUACCCAUCCGUGAACCAUAAAGGGCUCCAAGAAACUCAAAGAGAAAAAUUCAGCAAUGGGUGAAGGAGGAAAAUCGUGAUGAUGAUGAUCCAGAUUAUGUGGAUUCCCCUUCAAGGAGAGGCGAACCUUUAGUUAAGAAAACGAAGGUAACUCAAGAAGUCAAGAGUUCCCAAGCUAGAAGGCCUUCAACCUUGCGGUGGAACCCCCCAAAUAAGGAAAGAGACACUGAAGAUGAGUUAGUAAUGACUGAAUGGGAAGAAAGCGAAGCAAUGGUUCUGAUGAAGAUCAAAUCAAGGAAACGUAAAACCGAAAAUCUUGAUGCUGUUACGAUGAAAAAGAUAGGCUCAAGUGACAGAGAAGAGAAAAUAUUUAAGUCCGUGAACUCUAUGAAUCCUUCAUCACCUUCGUUGACUUCAACCUCAUCGGAUUCUGCCUUGGGUAGUGAUGGAAAUAGCAGCUGUAGCUCCAGGAGAUGUUAACAAUGACUAAGAAAGGCAAUGGAGGAGAUUGUUUGAAGUGCCAUCAGUGCAUGAGAAGCGAUAGAAGAAUUGUUGUUCCCUGCACCAAAUGUAAAUCAAAAUUAUAUUGCCUACAGUGUGCAUCAAGCAAUGGUAUCCCAACAUGUCAGAAACAAAAAUUGCAGAGCUAUGCCCGUUUUGUCGUAGAAAUUGCAACUGUAACCUGUGCCUGCAUUCCAGUGGGAUGGUUAAGACGGUGAAGACUGAUAUCAGUGAUGGUGAAAAGGUUCAACACCUUCUUCAUUUGAUCAAGACACUCUUUCCUUAGCUUAAACAAAUUUAUGAAGAGUAAAAGCAGGAGAUAGAAGUUGAGGCUAAUAUUCAAGGAAUACCAUCUUCUGGAAUUACAAUACCAGUGCAUUCAUGCCCCAGUGAUGAGCGUGUCUAUUACAACCAUUGUGCAACUUCAAUUAUUGACCUCCACUGAAGCUUCCCAAAGUAUUAUUAUGAGCUUUGCCUCAGCUGUUGCAAAGAGAUUCGGAAGGGAAACCUUUUAAAGACGGUGUGAUUGAGAUGGAACAGGAUUUUGCUGCUGAUACAUUCAGUGUUAGUGAAGAAUCUGAAGAUGAUGACAAUGAGGACAGUAGGGAUGGGCCACUUCUACAAUAGGGAAAGCUACAGUUUUUAAUUGGUACAGCUCGACAUGAGAGUGAUUACAACAACAUUUUGCUAGUCCCUGUUUGUAAUAAUGGUAAUCAGAAAAGCAUUCCAAUAGUAGCACCAUCUAUAAUCAAUGUUUGACUAAUAGUGGCACUAGCUCCUACAGUCAAACCUUUGUUAAUGGCAGCCCCGGAAUCAACAGUCAGCCCAUCUGAAAUGGAAAUGCUGGCUUUGACAACCCAGUCAUUCGCAAUGAAGAUGUUGCCGUGUAUAGUCAGGCCAUGCACAAUGGUGAUGUUGAUUUGGAUGAAUACUCCCUAUGGGACCUUUUGGGAGUAGCAUCAAGUGCCUCAGUGGAUAGAAGCAGCGUUCAGACAGCAGAUGGAUCACUGGUUCUGAAGCCAUCUGCACAUUAGGCAAUGACUAAGACAUAAUUUAUUGCUCAGGAGGGCUGUGAAGAACAGAAAUUCAAGCCUGACUAGAAUCAGACAUGCUCGUGCCUUCGGUUCUCUCAAAAUCUACAAUCUGUGUAGCAGAAACUGCAUUCUUGCAUUCAUUGCUUUGCUCAAUUCAGUGAUGUCCAUGACGAUCCGGUGGCGAUUCUAUCGCUGAAUUACUCUAAAAACCUAUUAUCUCUUGUGAUCAUCGAAGUGUCUCAACAGUCUUACUCAUUCCAUCUCAUGCAUUACAGUAAUUCCGCAAUCUAGGUGCGAAGCUCUUAGCAAAGAGGCUGCAUAGAGGCACAUGAUAAUAUUGGUUCAACCAGAGCAAGUGAUAAUUCAAUAAUCAUUGAAUAUAAACUCAAGACGCAGCGUUGAUCGAUUAUACUUACGACAGAACUUUAUGAUUGUCAGUGUAUAUUUGAGAGCCUAUAACGAUCAACCAGACUUCGAGAUCAGUGAACCAGAAGCAGUCUGUGUUGCCCUUCUUGGUUUUACUUCAGUUUUAGUCCACAAUCAAGGUGCUGCAGUUUUGGAUGACCAGGACACACUUAACCUUGAUGGCUCAUCCUUCAAUACAUCUGAGGUUCAGACUGAUAUAGCAGACGGAUCAAUCAUUGUACAGAAUGUUUCUGAAUCAGUGAGGCAGAAUGCACUGAAAAGAUUCGUGAAGCUUACCAACCUCUUUGGCUUUUGUGAAGAGAUAUUGACUCGUUUCCGGGACUAUUAGCUGGAUGUGCUUUGGUAAAUUUCAAAAUUCUUGAGUGACUGACCAUUUCAGAAUUUCUAUGAAUAAAAAAGAGCAAGUGACAGGCAACACAAGUUGAAGCUGCGUUCGUGAGUCAGAGGUUGCAGGACAUCAGUACUUCAGAAUUUCAGAUUGGAGUUCUUCAGAAUAAAGUCUUUGCUGGAACUCAAAAUGGUUGAAGUCAGGAUACUGUCCUUAUUAUUGACAUCAGCAAGUGAGAAGUCGGAGGUGAAACAACCAUCUGUAGAUUGAAACACUGCAUUAGACUUCAGUUUUGUCCAUGUAAAUAGUUAAAAGAAGCAAGCCAAGCAAACACCACUGGUAAUAAGAUCUCAGAAUAUGAGUCUUUCAAGCUACACCUUGAGAUGUCUCACAGAGCUAGAGACGCCAAGAAAAUGAUCUUUAGUAGAUCCUCGCUGUUGUCAAGACAAUUUUAAUGGCCACAUCAACAAUACCAAAUAGAAACGAAAGUCUACUUCAAACACAGCAGUAUUCCGAUUCAGAAACUGAAGUCUUUGCUACAACUACAUCUUUGAACAAUAGAAAUGGGUCAUAUAAAUGCUAAUCAGUGAAACUUCCUCAUGCCAGCUAUCGAUGAUCAGUUAGUACUACUGAAGAGGUAAAAGAUGAAGUUCAUGAUGAGCUACAAAACAUAGAUUCUGAGCUACAGAAAAAUCUAGGAGAAAAUUAUGAGAAAAUUGACAAAUCAGACGAGUUUGUGAGCAAAGGUUUGAAACUUAAGAACGUAUGGCAGUAAAGAAAUCCGAUUUGGAACUGGACUUAACACACACAGGAAGCGUAAGUAUGCAGAAAAUGGUUUAUUCGACCACAAGCCACAUGAAUCGAACUCUAUUAUGGCAGAUUGAGGUAAAAGUUGAAAGGCUUAAUCAAUUGAAAGCUAGCAGAAUGCAGGGAACCUCUCAAUGUAGAAAAUUGGAAAUUCCGAACCUUCUAUUCAGUAUUUAACUUCUAUUGAGGAGAAUCCAGUUGAGCUUACAAAUCAAGAUGUCUUUUAAGUUGAAGCAUUCGACAGUUGAACACUUUUGCAGUGAAUUGGUCCCUUCUAUCCAAAAUUUACCGGCUUCACUUCAUAGCAACCUUACUACACACACCUCCUCUAUUUGCUUCUUUGAUUGGGAACUUACUGUUUUAAAGUGAAUUUUUGAAUCAUUUUUCAACUAAACAUUUCCAGCUUUGAAGAAUCCAUCUCUAAAACACUUCGAGGCAUAAAAUCCAGAUUUUAACAAAUCUUUGCUGCCAUUUUCCUUCCAGCACAAGGUUUUCACUAUUUCCUUUGAUUUUCAACCAUUUUCUUGAUUUUUCUCGAUUUUCCCAAGCAUGAACAAACUUCAUGAUUCGAAACAAUGGAAUUCAUAGAAUCAACUCAUGCGAAAUUAAUUAGGGCUUUGGUGGGGGCCCAACAUUCAUGAUACUCUCUUCAAUAUUGUUUGCUUGAUAUGUUGAUUUUUGAUUCUUCUUGAUGAAAUACUUGAAUUCGCUUUAUGAUUAUUGUUGAGAUAUCCUUGUUUCCCAUAGACGUGUGGAUGCUCGCUAAUCAGGUACACUCUUCCCACCCUACAACUUUAAAAUUCUAUGAAUGUGUACGUUAUCAUGAGCCAUGACCAUGUUUGAUGCCAUACUUGAUUGUCUUGAUGCUUGUUUGAUCAUCUUUGAUAAAAUACAUAUAAUGUGUCAUAUUUCCAAACUAAUCUCUUAUGUUUUAUGAUAGCGCUUGAGAAGCCGUUCAGGUACGCACUUCGACUCUCUCUUAUGGUUGGUUUUCUUGUUAGACAUGCUAUAUUUGAAAUCACCUAAUCUACUUAGGUAUCUAUAAUUAAUCAAUUAAUUGUCAUAUUUCCCUCAAUUUAGUCAGUAGAGACCUUUAUAGGGCUUAGAGGGAUGCUACCUUUUAAAGGUGCCUUCCUAAUAAGUAACCUGAUCCUCGGACUAAGACUCAGGUUUUUCAAAGACAUGUUUUUUCAAAAAUUAUGGAGUCACUUUUUAGGGUUUUUCUUUCUUAUUUUAUUUUCCCUUUAAAAUAAAAAUAAAAUAAGUGGCGACUCUGACUUUUCUAAAAAUUGAUUUUUCACAAAUAAAAAGCGAGUCUUGCCGAUUGAGUGAGGGCGCACAUGAAAAAUGCAGGUCCACAGGUAUGAUCCUCAUUCCAAGGUACUGGAUUUUUCUUAAGUCUUUUUCUUAAAGGAGCACAAAGCUAGCUUAAAUCCUAUAUGAAAUCUAACACAUAAUUAAGGCUUCUUAAGAAACGUUGCAACUGUUUCUUGUCUUUGAUCUCAUCAGGAAACUUAUCAGCAAAUUCUAAAGACAUUUGAAUGGGAGUGAUAGUUCCUUGGUGAAUAUGAUGACCUAGGAAUCUUACCUUAAUCUAGAAAAGGUUAAUCUUGGUGAACAUGCUCUUGUGCCUUAAGUUGGAUCUAUGGGUGUUGUUGGUAUCAGAGCCAUGGGAAGGGAAGUCGGGUUUGUUUUAGGUGUGUUGAGCUAUCCUAGGAUAAGUAGCAAUGUGUCUGGGAGUACAAGCCUUGCCGGUAUUAUUUCUUAAGUAGUAAUUGGUCUACUUUUCUCUCAUCCUAUUUCGAUACAUACAAGACAUAGAGCAAAGGUAUGUCUACUAUGUGAGCAAAACAAUGGUAGACGUAGAGACUUAGUACUCCAAAAUGGAGCAGACGACCUUAGCCUUGAAGAACAUCGCUUAGAAGCUUCGCCCGUACUUCUAGGCUCAUCAAGUGACCGUACUCACAAAUCAACCACUCCGAGCUACCCUACACAAAUCGGAUUUGUCCAGACGGAUGUUGAAAUAAGCCAUUGAGUUGAGUAAAUACAAAAUCAAAUACCAGCCAAGGUUAGUAUUGAAGAAACAAGUUAUGACCAACUUUAUAACCAAACUCCCUCAAAAACUAGCACAUCCAAUUGAGUCCUUUGGAAAGCAAUGGUGGACACUUCAUGUAGAUGGAACAUCCAGAGCAUCCGAUUCCGGAGUAGGUCUAAUCUUGCAAUCACCAACUAGAAAACUAGUAAAGCAGGCUAUUCGUCUCAACUUUUCUAUCUCCAACAAUGAAGCAGAAUAUGAAGUUGUCUUAGUUAGACUAGACCUUGCCAUAACAUUGGUUGCAGCAAGGUUGGUAAUCAAGAGCGACUCUCAGCUAAUUGUCGGGUAAAUUCAAAAAGAGUACGAAGUAAAGGGUAAACGCAUGGCUCGCUAUCUCACCAUGGUAGAAGAUCGCUUGAAAAAGCUAGACAAGUGGGUUGUUAGACGGGUACCUAGGAAAGAGAACUUGAAGGCAGACGCACUGGCCGAAAUAACUAUCACUCUUCCUAUAAGAGAGGCAUUAAUGUUGUCUGUCCACGUGUCCCUUUCAAGCUCAAGACCCCUUUUCCGUGUAGAACAAGUAUGUAACCCAUCUGAGAUCAUUCCAUCCAGGCCAAGAUAAGUUCUGUCUGGCACCAGAAGUGAGAGGAUUCCCUUCUCCCAUAAGGCUAGAUGAAAUUGACAGCUUGGACUCUUAGACGGGAAGGUCUGUCCAGUCAAGUCUUUAAGACUUCUGCCAUACGUGAUCAACCACGCUUGACAUUUGAGCGGCCGGCAAGACUCCAUUUAGCCUACAAGUCUAUGUCAAUUAGUUGUUGCACACAAUCCUAGGUGUUGACAGGCUAAAUGGAAAGACAGCUACACAAUCCAAGAUCUUGGAAAGUCAGUAGAUGGCACCUGCCAGCCACCCUUAACUGAGAUGAUUGUCCAGCCGCCCUGAAGACAAUCAUCAUUACAGAAAAGGUCAGAGUGCAUACUCAACACUACAGUGGCGGUGUCAUCGUCUCUAUAUAAACCUCUCAAAAAGCACGAACAAGGUACGCACGCGAGCACAAAUGCUCACUCUCUCCCACAAAAUAGUUAAAGUUACUCUUGUAUGACUUAAGCUUCAGAGGGACAUGCCCGGACCACCCGUUUGGAUAUCCUUUUGUGUAGGAAAGAAGCCCGUUUGACUCCAGUACAGCUGGACAAAUUCUUCGAGAGACACAAAGUAGGAGCGAAGUUCGUUUGACUUCAGCAAAGCUAGACAAACCUGACACUAGUUGGCUUGACCUCAACAUGGAGUAUAUUAAAAAGGUGAGGCAUACAAUAAAUGUAGAUGUGGAGAGCGUCAUGACCAAAGUAAUGGGCACAACAAAUACUUUAAAAGUUGUCAUGUGGAUUUAUUUCACAUAAACUAUUUUAAUAGCGCAAUAAUUAUAACGAUCUUUUAUAAAUUUUACUUUUUGAUUGAUUUAAUUAUAUGUGGGCAUAAUUUUAAAUACCUAUUAUUAAUUAAAGGGGUAAUUCCAACCAAGAUUUGAAAUAUCCAUAAAUACGUAUAUAUUUCUACUUAGAUUUUACAGAUAUAUUAAAAAUAUUAAUGAAAAUUUGGUGAAUAUUUUGACAAAAAUAUCAAUAAGGCAAAAAUUAUGCAAAAUUUAUGGAAAUAUUUGAAGAAACUCCGAAAAAAAUAAUAAAAUAAAUAAAAAUACACAUGUUAAGUUAUUUUUUUAAGUGUAAUUGGUAUAGGUAUGGUUAAAGAGAAAAAUAUUGGUAAGUAAGAAUAUAUCGAUAUUAAUAAUUUAUUAUUUAUCUAGUAAAAUUAAUUUUAAUUUAAAAAAUUUUAGAACUUAAUUAUUAUUUUAUAUUUUAGCAUAUUUUUGAAUAAAUUUGUAUUUUUAAUAUUUUAAAAUAAAAACCUUCAAAAUUAAAUAAAAUUAAAAUGAUAAAUAUAAAAAAUUUAAAAGUGAAGUGAUAGUAAUUUGUUAAAAUAUGAUUAAUGAGAUAAAUGAUAAUACAUUUAAUAUUAAAAAUAUAAUUUAUUUAAUUCAAAUGCAUUCAAUAAUGUAAAAUAAAUGAUGAUGCAUAUAUGACUUUUUAAUAUUUAAUUAUCAUAUAAAUUAUAUUAAAAAAUAUUUGUUAAGAAAAUUAUAAUGAUGAUUUUUAUACAUUUAUUAAUUAAUUAAAUAAAAAUUAAAAUAAAAUAAUUAAAUUUUUUUAAUUUAUUUUUUAAUAAUGAACUUUAACAUAUUUAUUAUCAUCAUAUAUUAAUGAGUUGGGACUUAGACCAAUGGCAAUCAAGCUUAAAUCUAAGUCUUUUGACCUAGGUUUGAAAAAAUUCAAAUCAUGUAGGGAGAAAAUCGCCCAAAAAAAUUGCAAUUUUUUUUAUUUCGGCAAUUUUUUUCAAUCUCCUCUUCCUGUCGUCAGGUCGGGCGUCGCCCCACGCUCGAUUUUUCGCUGAUAAAUCACCUCCAAAACAAUAUAUCGUUGAUAGUUUGACGAUUUUGCCGAAAUUCUUGUCAAUCGAUAAUCGGUGCCUGUUAUCAUUUCGGGCACCAUCAAUAUUCGAUAUUUUGUUGAUAUCUCGACAAAAAAAAAAAAAAAAAAAAACCAACAUUUCAAUCCUUGGCUCCAACUACCUACUACUCUAUAUUUUGUACAAGUAUUAAUCUAUGAAACUAAAGUCAAGACAACAUAAAAGAUAUUUUGUAAAAGAAAUUUCAAUUGAAGUGGUAGAUGUUUCUGUGUUAAACCCCUACCAACUUUGUUGUUAGAGUGAAAAGCCCCACCAACUUUGUUGUCAAAGUUAAAAGGAGUAGAUGGAACUUGGAAGUAGAUCAUAACUAACACAAUUGUUUAUGUGGAGUAAAGAUGAAAAUAUAGGUAAUCAUGAAUAUAUCGAUAUUUCGAUUUUACGAAUAUAUCAAAUAUAUUAACAAAUAUUUUGAUACAAAAUAUCAAUGGACCUAAAAUUGAUUAGAACUUAUAGAAAUAUAGGAAAAAACUUUUAGAAAUGAAAUUAGAAGUAUAAUAGAUAUUUUAAAGUUGUUUUAUUGAAGAAAUUAACAUAUGUAUGAUAUAAUUUAUUAUAUUUGAUAAUAAUAUUGUAUGUGUUGAUAAAAAAAUAUAAAUUUUAUAAGUGUACAUUUAUUAUUAAUCCUGGGGACGUCACCCCCAAGGGCCAAAUAAACAAAUGGCCCCUCAUAAGACUUUGCGCUGUCCGGCCCAACCCGGACACCAGAGCAAAAAAGGCCGACGUUUAUGUUGGGACGUCAUUUGUUUGUUUGGCCCUGGGCAGCCGCAUGGGCCGGAUACCAGAGUGGCCUCCCCAGGAUUCAAACCCAAGUCCAAGACUUAAGGACGAUAAGGUUNNNNNNNNNNNNNNNNNNNNNNNNNNNNNNNNNNNNNNNNNNNNNNNNNNNNNNNNNNNNNNNNNNNNNNNNNNNNNNNNNNNNNNNNNNNNNNNNNNNNNNNNNNNNNNNNNNNNNNNNNNNNNNNNNNNNNNNNNNNNNNNNNNNNNNNNNNNNNNNNNNNNNNNNNNNNNNNNNNNNNNNNNNNNNNNNNNNNNNNNNNNNNNNNNNNNNNNNNNNNNNNNNNNNNNNNNNNNNNNNNNNNNNNNNNNNNNNNNNNNNNNNNNNNNNNNNNNNNNNNNNNNNNNNNNNNNNNNNNNNNNNNNNNNNNNNNNNNNNNNNNNNNNNNNNNNNNNNNNNNNNNNNNNNNNNNNNNNNNNNNNNNNNNNNNNNNNNNNNNNNNNNNNNNNNNNNNNNNNNNNNNNNNNNNNNNNNNNNNNNNNNNNNNNNNNNNNNNNNNNNNNNNNNNNNNNNNNNNNNNNNNNNNNNNNNNNNNNNNNNNNNNNNNNNNNNNNNNNNNNGAAUCCUGGGGAAGUCACCCCCAAGGGCCAAAUUAACAAAUGGCCCCAUAAGACUUUGCGCUGUCCGGCCCAACCCGGACACCAGAGCAAAAAGGCCGACGUUUUUGUUGGGACGUCAUUUGUUUGUUUGGCCCUGGUCAGCCGCAUGGGCCGGAUACCAGAGUGGCCUCCCCAGGAUUCGAACCCAAGUCCAAGACUUAAGGACGAUAAGGUUGCCCUCCUGGUACCAUCUGUGCUCAACACAAAGGACAGAUUAAGAAUUCCGAAAGGACAUUGACACAUUUUUUUUUUAUUGCUUGGUUGUCUCUAUGCAAUUGUUGAUCAACUUGCACUGCCUUGAUGACGAAGCUCUACACAUGAGGAUAAACAUUGAAAGAAAACAGAAGGUUGAAAUGAUUUAUGGUGUCUUUUAUUACAGCAAAUCUAAAACUUGGCCAACCUCUGAGAAACUAAAGAGGCUUGGAAGAUAUGGCUUCUUAAGAAAUUAAUUUAUGCCUGAAAAUCCAAAGGGAACUUAAUGGUUUUUCCUUUUAUUGUUCCUUUUUCAAAGCACAAGCUAGAACAUAGAAAAUGAUUAUCACCUGAAUGGUACCUCCCUCCAUCUUCCUCAAUUACAUUAAUUUUCACUGCACUCAUUUGUGGAUCACUUCCCAAGGCCUUGGGAAGCCAUGCAAUGUUAAAGAACCUUUUUUCCAUGACCAACAUAGAAUAUCAUAAUUUUCUCUUACAUGCAAACAUAACGGUUUUGUCGUGUCCUAUGAUAUUGUGAGACUAGAUAUACGCACACNNNNNNNNNNNNNNNNNNNNNNNNNNNNNNNNNNNNNNNNNNNNNNNNNNNNNNNNNNNNNNNNNNNNNNNNNNNNNNNNNNNNNNNNNNNNNNNNNNNNAUUUUUGACAUUCCAUAAUUUCUACGUUCUUGAGCCAAAUUUAGAAAAUAAAUCAUUCUUGGACAACCUCGAUCCUGUGGGGUUUGGUUUUGGAAGCCAAAAGUCCCAUCUUUGUUGCUCUUUAGGGCUUUUGUAAAUGGAGAGGGAGAGAUUUGAGGAUGCCUGCAAGGUUGUAGUACAAGCUACAAAUGACGUAUCGAUCAUGCAAUUUUUAGUUGGUGACUCACCAUCCAUGCAUGGGCCGUGGUUUUAUUUUUAUUUAUCUAGGCUUUGGUUCACAAAGUAUUAAGAAAAAAAAAUAUUAUAAAAAAUGAUUUUUCAUAUUUGAUUUCACCAUUAAAAAUAUAUAAAAAAAAAUCAAAUAUAAUUAAAAUUAAUUAAAAAUUUACACAUUUUAAAUUCAUUUAAUUUUUAUAUCAUGAAGAAAAAUAAAUAAAAUAAAUUUAAAAAAAUUAUGGACCCCACAUUUUGCUCGAUGUGUUUCUACUCGAUGGUAAAACUUGUUUUUUUAUUUUAUUUAUUUUGCGAAAAUUAUGAUUUUUAGAAAAGACUUAGAGUUGCCACUUAUUUUUGUUUUAGUUUUUAAAAGGAAAACAAAAUAAGAAACAAAAAUACUAAGUAUGACUCCUUACGUGGAAAAACGGGUCUGUGAAAAAUUGAGUCGAGUCCAGGGUUGAGGUUACUUAUUGGGAAGGUACAAUAAAAAGAUCGAAAGCACCCAUCUAAGUCCCUAAAAACGGGUCUCUACUAAAUAAGGUGAGGUAAAUGUGACAAUUGAUAAGGAAAUCAAUGGAUACCAGUGAAAUAAUCAAAUAAUAAAGUGAAAUCAUGCAUCAGAAUAAGCGAAGUGGAAAUGAGAUCAUACCUUAACAGCAAUUAAUAGUGCGCUAUCAUGGAAACAAGGUUAGCUCAAGUAUAAAAUCAUUACAUACAUAUCAAAAAGCAAGACAAAAAUCAAACAAUAUUCAUUAAACAUAACAAUUGACAAUCAAAAGAGAAAACUCCUAUGUAGGGCCCCCACCAAAGCCCGAUUUAUCUUGUAUGAAUUAGUAUCACAAAUUCCAUUAUUUUGGAAUUAUGAAAAAAAUUCAUUCUUGCUUAUUUAAAACUAAGAGAAACAAAAAAUUAUUUGAAAAUAGAAGAAAAUUUGUACAAAUGCAUACCAAAAUGAGAAUGAUAACAGACUUAUUAAAAUUAGGAUUUUUGGCGACCUAAAACUCUAAUAAAGGUUGGAAAGUUGUAGAAUUAAAACUGUUCGAGAUAAAACUAGAGUUUUGAAAUUUAUUUGAAAAUUGAACUCUCGAAAAUUAUUUGAAAAUUGGAGUCUUGAAGAUUAAAUCUAAGAAUUGGAAUUUUGGAAAUUAAAUUUGCAAGAAAUUGGAAUUUUGAAAAUUAUUUGAAAAUCGGAGUUUUAAAAAUUAAAUAUGAAUUUGGAGUUUUGGAAAUUAAAUUUGAAAGAAAUUGGAGUUUCGAAAAUAAAUUGAGAACUGGAGUUUUGGAAAUUAGAAUCUUAGAAAUCAUUUGGAGAUGAUAUUUUAAAAAAUAAAUAAAUAAAAUAAUAAUAAUAAUAAUAAUAAUAAUAAUAAGCAAGUGUGAAAAUUGGUAUUUUGGAAAUUGAAAAUUAAAUUUGAAAAUUGGAAUUUUGAAGAAUUAUUUAAAGAUGAAAAUUUUAAAAUAAUAAUAAUAAUAAAUAAAUAAAUAAAUAAAGGGAAUAAUAAUAAAUAAUAACGAAAAUAAUUAUUAUUAAAUAAAUGUGAAAAUUGAAAUUUUGGAAAUUGGAAAUUAAAUUAGGAAAUCGGGAUUUUGAAGAAUUAUUUAAAAUGGAAUUUUAAAAAUAAAUAAAUAAUAAUAAUAAAGAAGAUGAUAAUUGUUAAAUAAAUAAAUGUGAAAAUUGAAAUUUGGGAAAUUGAGAAUCAAAUUUGGAAAUCGGAAUUUUGAAGAAUUAUUUAAAGAUGGAAUUUUAAAAAAAAUAAUUAAAUAAAUAAAAUAAUAAUAACGAAAAUAAUAAUGAUUAAAUAAAUAAAUAUGAAAAUUGGAAUUUUGGAAAUCGAAAUUUUGAAGAAUUAUUUAAAAAUGGAAUUUUUAAAAAAUAAAUAAAUAAAAUAAAAUAAUAACAAAAAUAAUAAUGAUUAAAUAAAUAAAUGUGAAAAUUAGAAUUUUGGAAAUUAUUAGAAAAUCGAAGUUUUGAAAAUUAAAUUUUGAAAAUUGGAAUUUUGAUGAAUUAUUUUAUAAUGGAAUUUUAAAAAUAAAAUAAAAUAAAAAAUAAAACGAAAAUAAAAAUAAAGAUGCAUGUCUAGUGGAAAAUGGUAGGAAUUCAUUUAUUAAAAUUCUCAAUUCAAAGAGAUGAUGGCCCAUUGGUGAGCCAUGAUAAUGUUGUGCUUCCAAGCAUUCUUACACCUAGCAAACAUGAAAAAAUUAACCCAAGAUGCACUUCUUACCCAUCAGCCACCUAAGUUGGAGCCCAUAAAAUCCAAAAAACUGCAAUGGAGAAAUGAAUGCAAGGUUGUGCACGUGCCAAUAACCAUAUCCUUCUAUCACAAGAAAUACGUGUGUAGAAGGACAUUCUACAGUCCUUAAAAACUACUAUUCGUGGAGUUUCGACCCAACAUUUGGUGAUAUAAAUGAUAGUUAUCAUUGCCAAGAUCCCAUUUGCUACGGAAGGAACAACCACACUUUUCUUCGCAUCACUACCAAGGAGCCAAUUUGCAAGCACUUGGCUUCCAAUAAAAGAUGCAGACUCAAAUAAUGUCAUUAACCAGAAAGUAUCAAUCAAAAAAUAUAACGUCUAUACCCAAGCUUAUCAUGUUCAACAACCAUCCAUGUUUCAAAACUGAAUGAAAAUAUUGAAGUGGCGAGAGAUAAGUAGAUAUUUGCUACCCAAACACUAGGUUACAGGGUAAUCCUCCUCCAUAUGCCAAUCGAGAGGUGUAGAACACAAAAUGACAAAAAAGCUUUCUUUUGAUCGAUGAAAUCACAAAGCAGACCUAAGGAAACACUAAAGAAAAAGGCAACUAAAUAUCCAACACAGAGAGACACCACCAAGUUCCCUUAUGAGAAUCUCACUCCCUUCAACAUCCAUCAUGAUCGCAACAGCAAAGCCCUUCUCCUCAAGGGUAUAAAUAGGCACCGGAACAGAGAGUAAAUAGCAAGGGAACAAGCAUAAAAAAAAAAAAAAAAAAAUAGAGCAUCAAAUGAACCAAAGAAAACAUUAACCCGAGCCUCAUCUCAUAUUGAAAUCAAUGGGCUUACGUAUAGGUGAAAAAANNNNNNNNNNNNNNNNNNNNNNNNNNNNNNNNNNNNNNNNNNNNNNNNNNNNNNNNNNNNNNNNNNNNNNNNNNNNNNNNNNNNNNNNNNNNNNNNNNNNAACUCAAUGAAAAUCAAAUGCGAGAAAGAUGUGGUCCAGUAGAAGUUCCCGAAAAGACUCCCCUCCGGCGAGACUAGCUGGGUGUCAAGUUGCUUUAUUUCGUCGUUUCUACUUCAUACCAUUUGCAGUUUACUCCAGAAAACAUUUCUUCUCUCUAAAAAAAAAAUGCAUUCGUUCUCCUCCUCGUUUCUCUCAAGGCUUCCCCAUUUUGUUCUGCUUUUUUUCAUCUCCAAGCUUUUUCCAACCCUACCCGUUUCAGUGCUCCUUGCUCAAAAGAAGUCUCGUCUCAACCACCCCCAUGGCAAGGUGGUGGUCCCAACCACUCAUCCAUGCAUGGAGCUUCAUGGAAGUUGUCCCCCACUUCAAAUGAAAUGCUCUCCAACUCCUUCCAGGUGGUAAAAAAUAAAAAAAGAAUAAAGAAAGAGAAAAAAAAACUUUGGUUUAAAAAAAAAAAAAAAAAAGGUCUACAAAUAUGCCCCUCUUCGGUAGAGUUCACGAGUGUAAGAAAUAUGAACACUAGAGUGAAAAGAAAUUGUAAAUAGUGAAUGAAAUGAAGUGGACUCUACCGAAGAAAAAGAAAGACCCCUAAUGGCGCACAAGUAUAACACAAACUUGCUUAAUCCAAUAAAGGAACAAAAGAGGUUCCAAAAUCCCAAAAGAAUGGUAGCUCUCAGAGUGCCUUUAAAGCUGCACUAUGAACUUAGGCUUCCUCUAAGAUGUCUCCAGAAGUGACUUGAAGAUCAAUGUCAGAGAUGAGUAACGGUCAAACCACCUUGGGGUACAGGAAAGAAUGCGUCCAAAGGGGACUACCCUAUGCGAACUACAUGAGAACACUAAGUGUAAGGUACCCAGCAACAUGACUGAAAUAUGUGUCAUGAACUCAAAGAACUAUGUCAUGUGCAGUGGAAGGAGAAGUCUAGAAGAGCAUGAUGGACAAGCAAUAAGCACAAGGUAACAAGGUAAGGAAAAUGAUGACGAAUGUAAAAUUUGUGAAGGCAAGAUGUACAAUGCUAAUGAAUAUGAAUGCUAGGAGCUAUGACUUUAAAUGAUAAGGUUGGGGAAAAAUGACUUUUGAAUGCCAAAAUGAGGAAAAGUGGUGACUCAAAAUGUAGGAAUGAGUAUGCACAAUGGCUCUGAACGUCAAAACUAAAUAAAGAUGUUGACACUGAAUGCUAAGAUGAAGGAAUAUGAUGGCUCUGAAUGUUAAAAUGAAGACACGGUUUUGAAUGCUAAAAUGAAGAAAAUAAUGGCUCUAAAUGUCAAACUGAAGACAUGGAUCUGAAUGCCAAACUGAAGAUAUGAUGGCUCUAAAUGUCGAACUAAAACCAUGGCUCUAAACACCAAACUGUGAAGAGAUGGUGGCUUUGAACGCCAAACUAUAAUGAGAUGGUGGCUCUGAAUGCCAAGUUGUAAGGAAAUGGUGGCUUUGAACACCAAACUAAGAAAUGAUGGUGGCUCUAAAUGCCAAACUGAAAAGAGAUGGUGGCUCUAAAUUCCAAAUUGAAAAGAGAUGGUGGUUCUGAACGUCAAACUGAAGAUGAUAUGAUGACUCUGAAUGUCGAGCUAAAACCAUGGCUUUAAACGCCAAACUAUGAAGAGAUGGUGGCUCUGAAUGUCAAACUGUAAUGAGAUGGUGGCUCUGGACGCCAAGCUGUAAGGAGAUGGUGGCUCUAAACUUCAAACUGAGAAGAGAUGGUGGCUUUGAAUGCCAAAACCUAUGAAGAGAUGAUGGGAUGGCUCUGAAUGCCAAGCUAAAACAAUAGUUAUGAAUGCCAAAUAGAAAGAAAGGCUCUGAACACCAAACUGAGAAGGACGACUCUGAACGUUGUAACGGAGAAGAUAUGGCGGCUCUGAAUACCAUAACUAAGAAGGGAUGGCGGCUCUGAAUGCCAAACUGAAAAAAGAUGGUGGCUUUGAAUGCCCAAAGUGAGAAGAGAUGGUGGCUCUGAAUGCUAAAUUGUAAAGAGAUGAUGGCUCUGAACGCCAAGGUGUAAGGAAAUGGUGGUUCUGAAUGCUAGGAAUGUAGCCCUGAAUGUCGAAAAGGUGGCAACAAAUGCCCAACUGUGAUAGGAUGAUGGCUCUGAAUGCCAAACUGUGAAAGGAUAGUGACUCUGAACGCUAAACAGGAGAUGCGGCUCUGAACGCCCGAACUGAGAAUGGAUGGUGGCUCUGAACGCCAAACUGAAAACAUGGCUCUGAAGGCCAAACUGAGAAGAUGUGGCGGCUCUGAAUGCCAAACUAGAGAUGCGACUUUGAACAUCAAAUUGAAGAAGAUGAAGGCCUUGAACACCAUAACUGAGAAGGGAUAGUGACUCUGAAUGCCAAGCUGGAGAUACGGUUCUGAACGCCAAACUGAAAAAAGAUAGUGGCUCUGAACGCCCAAACUGAAGAUGCGUCUCUAAACACCAAACUGAAGAAGAUGAAGGCCCUGAACACCAUAAUUGAGAAGAGAUAGUGACUCUGAAUGCCAAGUUGGAGAUGCGACUCUAAACUCCAAACUGAAGAAGAUGAAGGCUCUGAACGCCAUAAUUGAGAAAGGAUGGUGACUCUGGACACCAAGUUGGAGAUGCAGUUCUGAACGCCAAACUGAAAAAGAGAUGGUGGAUCUGAAUGCCAAACUGAAGAUGCGACUCUAAACGCCAAACUGAAAAAGAUGAAGGCCCUGAACGCCAUAACUGAGAAGGGAUAAUGACUCUGAAUGCCAAGUUCGAGAUACGGCUCUGAAUGUCAAACUGAAGAAGAUGAAGGCUCUAAAUGCCAUAAUUGAGAAGGGAUAGUGACUUUAGACGCCAAGGUGGAAAUGCGGUUAUGAAUGCCAAACUGAUGAAGAUGAAGGCUCUAAACGCCAUAACUGAGAACUAACAUCUCUGAAUGUCAAAUUGAGAAAAACGACUCUGAACGUCGUAACUAAUAAGCGAUGAUGGCUUUGAACGUUGAGCUGUAAAGAGAUGGUGGCUCUAAAUGCCAUAAUUGAGAACUAACAUCUCUGAAUGUCAAACUGAGAAAAGAAGACUCUGAACGUCGUAAAUGAGAAGCGAUGAUGGCUCUGAACGCUGAGUUGUAAGGAGAUGGUGGCUUUGAAUGCCAAACUGAAAAUGUGGCUCUGAAUGCAAACCUGAGAAGUGAUGGUGGCUCUGAACGCCAAACUGUAAGGAGGACAACUCUAAACAUCAAACGAAGGACAACCAACGGCUCUGAACACCAAACUAAAGAUAUGGUUUUGAACACUGAGAUGAAAUUGCCACUCUGAACGUUGAACGGAAGGAAGACAUGAUGACUCCAAAUGUCGAACUAAGAACAAACAAUGGCUCUGAACGCCAAAAUGAAGAUACGGCUCUGAACGCUAAAAUGAAAGUACGGCUCUGAACGCCAAACAAAAAAAUGUGAUGGCUCUAGAUGUCAAACCAAAGACAAACAACGGCUUUGAACAUCAAACUGAGAAUAUGGCUCUGAACGCCAAACGGAAAAGAGACAUGAUGGCUCUGAAUGUCGAACUAAGGACAAACGACGACUCUGAAUGCCAAACUGAAGAUGCGACUCUGAACGUCAAAAUGAAAAUACGGCUCUGAAAGCCAAACAGAAAAGAGACAUGAUGGCUUCGAAUGUCAAACUAAGGACAAACAACGACUCUGAAUGCCAAUUUGAAGAUGUGGCUCUGAACACCAAAAUGAGAAUACGACUCUAAACGUCAAAAUGAAAACAUAACUCUGAACAUCAAACGGAAAAGAGACAUGAUGGCUCUGAAUGUCGAACUAAAGACAAACGACGGCUCUGAACGCCAAACUGAAGAUGCAACUUUGAACGUCAAAAUGAGAAUAUGACUCUGAACGUCAAAAUGAAAAUGCGACUCUGAACGUCAAACGGAAAAGAGAUGUGAUGGCUCUGACCGCUAAGCUAAAAAUGCGAGGAGAUAAUGAGGAGGAAAUAUGCCCCAGUGUAGCAUGCCGCUACAACUCUCAAUUCAUAGGAAGGGUCUGAAAGAGACUCUAUGAGUCUCAAAAGAUGCUCCACUGACGAGUCGGAACGGUCAAAUCGACUAUAAAUAUGGCCUCACAACCCAUUUAACUGAAUCACGAGACCUGAUGAUGUGUCACAAUAAGUCGGAUGCCUUUAACUCAACAAGCUCUACUGGAGGAACCCAUUGUCGUUUCAAAUGAGUGAUCCAAUAGGGAAUCUCAAGAGAAUAGUCCGCCAGGGUAACUACUACAACCUUAACACAAAAAUCUACUGAAAAGUCAUGGAUAACGUGGUAGUCAAAACCCAGAAAGUCGUGCUCCUUUGGAGGCUCAUCUCGACCAAAGUCAUCAAAACCGUGCCCAAUAAUGCAAAGAAAUAUCCCUCGUCCAAGUAAUGAAGGCUGUAACAAGUCUGUGAGAAAACAAUCAUCUCUACAGCUAAAAGAGGAAAAUAUGCCCUAGUAUAGAAACUAAGGCAUCCGGUCUAUCCUGAUAACUCGAGAAUAACUCCAUGGGGAUGUAUAAGAUAUUUGACAUGUACUUCAUUGAAAUGAUGAUAUAGGAGUCUAUGCACCUGAGGUAACUCCAUCUAAGAAUUGUGACAAUAUAAGAAAAUAUGAGCUUGACUGAAUGACUCGAGAAAGGCUCCAUUGGGUAAUCAAGACAAAAUGAAAGCAAACCAUCAGCUCUCUUUGUGAAAGCUGAUACGGAGAGGAUCACGACUAUGGUGUCCGUCACAAUAAAUGCUUUGAAAGCUGCUCUCUUUGUUAAAAUUGCCAUGCCAUUGUCAUUGUAACCUCCAGGCAAGGUGAAACCCGCAGCAAAGGUUACAGUUGCUACAAGUGCUGCCACUAUCAAAUGGUUUCACCUUUUCUUUUUAUGUUAGAGAUGCUUUUGUCUUUUCUGACGUCUUUGCUUUUACUACUAUUACUAGUACCACCACUGUCUUUAUUGAUAGCCUCCUGCCAAGUAAAGGGUCCAACAACUUCUUUCUCCCAUUCCCUCAAUUGUCUUCGAAAUUCUUCCUGAAAUUUGAUCAAAAUAAAAACAAAUAAACCUUUUUCCAUAAAAUAAAAUAAAAUAAAAAGAAGGGAAAGAAAGAAGGAAAAAAAAUGUAGUUCAUGUGUCACUGUUUUGGCUUUUUGCUCUUCCUUUUUAUAAAAAGAUUUUCUCAUCUUCCCUCAAAAUGUUUUUCCAUAAGUCUACAAUUUAAAUCCACAAGUUCUACAAAUUGCCUUCAUUAUGGUAAUUUGGUACUUAAUUUCUAUUUUAAGCAUGAUUGUCCCUAUCGAUAAUAAAAAUAGAAAAAAUGAUGAUGAUGAUGCCCGGGGUUUUUAAUUCUACCAUCGUGAUGGAGUUUUUCCAUAUCAUUACUAAUAAAAAGAUUAGGUUAGGAUCCUUACUAUGAUCAUAUAUCCUGGAUUAAGGUUAGCCCUUGAAAAAAUGUCUAGGGCGGUUAACUUAUCCUUGUUGAGCGCCAUUUUAUCCACUCUAUUGUCUUCUGAGAAAGAUGGAUCAAAAAGUUGGUAAGAAGCAAGCAGGUGGAGGGGUGUGUCUCCUUUAGCGUCUUUCUCAUUCAUAAGUCUUCUCACCCUUAACAAACUAUUGUCAUUCAAGAUAUUACGAGUAGCAUGAUAUCGCUCGCUCAUAAUGGCAGAGUGAAAAACAUUAUUUCCCUUAUCAUCCACUUGCUCGCAACAAUCUGGGGAGUGUGACAACAGCAGCUUUGCUAUAUCUUGAUGGUUACGGUUAGCUGCAAUGUGAAGUGUUGUUUUCUUGCUGUCCUUGAUUCCAAGAUAAGUUACAAAUUUAUCUGGUGAUUUGCCUAGUAAUUGCUCCACAAUUGCAGUAUGACCCAAGUAUGCAGCACAGUGAAGGGGAGACCAUCCAUUCUCAUCCACUUCUUUUGUCAGAUCUGGCUUCCAUUCCAAUAACCUCGCUGUCAUUUCUGUAAACAAACGAACCAACAAAAAACAGAGAAAACAAAUUGAAGAAAAUUAAGUGAAUCAUUGAAGUUCCCUCUAGUGAAGCAUGACUCCUAGAGGUGAUCAUGUUUUCUAACAAUAGGUUGCAUGACUAUCUAAUCACAUGGGAAUCGAGAUUCAGGGGAAGGAUCUGCUUAUGUGAUACCUUAGUCAUUGCGAAUUACAGCAGCAUGUAAAGCCGUUCUACCCAUCAUGCCACUAUGAGAUGGUGAAGUGCAAGUUCCUAUGAUUAAAUUCACCAAAUCUUCAAAACCUAUCUCGGCGGCCAUGUAAAGAAGAGUGUAGCCUGUAAUAUUAGCCCCAUAAAUAAACUCGGGGUCUUCCUCGUUCAAUGACUUCACAACCUCUGAAUGAUAAUACCUCACUGGCUCAUGCAAGGCUGUGUUUUCCAGGGUUCAAAGUAUCGGCCGAGUCCGGUACAACUCGGCCGAGUCAUAUCCGCCUCAACACCUGCCGCAACGAGACCGAUACCAGAUACAGUAUAAUGCACGAACUCGACUAGGAAUCGGUAAAACUCGGCUGACUAGUCUGAGUUUUCGAGUUAACUCGGUUAGGUUACAGAGAAUUUUCAAAUUUUAUUUCCAAUCACAAUAAAACAUCAGAACAUUUUCAUAUAAAAAAAAAUCAAAGAUUGCCCUUUCAAAAGCAAGCACAUAUUCUGAAAUUUUAAACCAUCAAUGAGAAUAUCAAAGAAGACGAAGAAGAAAUAAUCCAACCCGUGACCCGUUUGGAAAUAAGUGGAGAAACCAGCGAAGGAUGAGGGCAUGAUUUAGGAUUUACUUACCUGAUUUUCCUCAAAAUCGAGCAUUACCAGAGGGUGGAGCUUUGGUGUUGACGGUGGUGACUCGUCAAGUGGACUGGAUCUUUCACCGGCGACGUCGACGAGACAACCCCUUCACAGUCAAAUUGCUUCCCCUCCCGUGUUGGGUCUUGCACGGUUGCAAAUUUGCAAUUGCAGGUGGUGUUGUGGGUCUUGACGGCAAUUUCUGGGGACAGGAUGAUUGAAUGCGUUUGUCCAAGCAAAUAUUAGGGCUACGCUCAUUUGGCUAAUUAUGGGCUGAGCAUGGGCCAGCCCAUUUUUUAACUAUUAGCUGUAACUGGGCCGUUCUCUGAUUUAUGUCAUAAAUCUCUUCAUCUUCAUCAAAUUUUAUAACUCGGAGAUUUUUAUUUCACACUCCAUUUAAUAAAGUUUAAGUAAGUUUCAAGUUUCACAAAUUUAAUUUUUAAAAAUUAUAUAUAUAUAUAUAUAUAUAUAUAUAUAUAUAUAUAUAUCUUCUUCCCUUUUCUUUUUUUAAGUACAAAUUAUUUAUCCUUUUUAUUUUCAUUUUUAUUUUUCAUCAUCUUUCUUUUUACAAAUUAAGUAAAAUGUGUUUCAAUUAUAUAUUAAAAAUGUUAUUUUUUUAAAUUUAUUCUAAAUAAAAUAUUAUUAACAAUUAUUUUUGUAAAGUGUUAUUAUUUAUUUUUAACAAAAGAAUUAAUUACACUUUCAUAAAGAUAUCAUUAUCCAUACAAUGUAUAAUAAUCAAAUUAAUCGUAUGUCAUUUAAUAAAGUUUAAGUCGGUUUCAAGUUUCACUAAUUUAAUUUUAAAAAAUUAAAUUAGAAGUUAUUGAAAAUGACAAAUAAUUUUGAGCUAAAUGUGAAAAAAAAAAAUUGUUUUAUUAAUUUUUUUCAACUUAUUCAAUUAUAUCUAUUUUUUUAAUUUAUAUAACAUUUUCUUAUAAUUUUUUGAAAUUUCUAAUUAUCUUAUUUUGCGUAUCGCCCGAUACCGAACCGAGAUGUCGAGACCGAUAUGCCUCGUGGCCCUCCGAGUCAAUCACCGAUACCGCGACUUUGAACCAUGGUGUUUUCCUCCUCAUUUGUCAUCCUCAUAAUCGCCUUUUCUCCUCCAACCCCACUCUCGAUCUCUUGGUGAAGUCGUUUCGCAGCAUCAAUGAGUGCUUUCACGACUAUCAAAUGGCCUUCUCUCGCUACAAGGUGAAGUGGAGUGUCGCCCUUCAGAUUGGGCUUAAGCAGGAGAGACGAAGAUGAAUUCAGCCCCAGGAUAUACUGAACACAGUCCAAUUGACCGAAUUGAGCUGCAAUGUGGAGGACGGUAUUCUUAUUUGGGGUUAAUUGGACCACAAAAUGAUCUUCUGACAUUUGUUCCAAGACAUCGAUCCUGCCAUAUGCUGCGGCCUCGCACAAAGCAGCAUCCAUGCAAGUGAUCGGAGUUUGGCUGCCAUCUGCAUCUGCCGCCUGGUUCAAGAUUGGCUACCGUCUUGAGCUGCAAGCUGUUCCAGGUAAAGAGUAUGUGAUUCUGCAGUGUGGAUGGAAGUGGAAAGAUCCAUAGGUGCUUCAGCAAUCAGCACUAUCCUCCUUUACACAACUUUUCCCCACCCCACCUUGCCUCAAUUAUAUAUAAUAUUAAAAAAAAUUAUAUUGAUUAAUUUUUAACAUAUAUAAAAUACUUCUUUCCAUAAAAAUAAAUUAUAAAUAUUUAUCAUAUUUAUUUAUUUUUAAUAAAAUGUAAAAUUUUAAAACUAAAAAAAACUUGAAAUUUCAAAACUGUUUUAAAAAACAAUUCUAAAAAAUAGUUUUUAAAAAUUGUUAUCUAAUUUUUGUAAAAUAAAAGUUUGUUUGUAAACCUAAAAUGCUUUUAAACUAUUUUUGAUAUUUUAAAAUAUGUUUUAAAAAUAACUUUUAUAUUUAAUAUUUUAUUUUUAAUUAUUUUAUAUGUUUGUAUAGUUAUUUCUUAAAACAAUCGUCAGAAAACAAGUGAAAACAAUGAAAAAAAACUAAAAGAUAUUAUCUUAAAACACUUUGUUUUUUUGUUUUUAAUAACAAAAAAACAUAAAAUAUUUUUUAUUUACCAAGGUUCUCAAACAAACCUUAAAUAUCUAAACAUAUUUUCAGUUUUAAUUUUUAUUUUCUAGAAAAAUGAAAAUACCAAACAAGAUCUUAACCUAUCUUUAAUCACACUAAUUUUAGGGCAAUCUCAUCACAAAGAGUUUAUUUUCUUACAUUUUUUUUUUCAUAUGUGAUCAUCAACUACUUAUCUUUUUUAUUUAUUUGUUUGUUAACUAGAAAAAUAGGCUAUGUGGGAGGUCACCCCAAACAUAAUAUACUGAGUUUGACUUCACAUUAAUAAUAAUAAAUACUUCAUUAAGUCAUCUUUAUUAAUGUUUGAGUGUUGUUAAGUAUGAACUUAUAUUUUUUUAAUUAUUAUUUUUAAAUGGUAAAUUAAUUUGCUUUUAUAUUUUAAAAUCUAUAAAAUUAAUUAUUAUAUUUCUUUUAAUUUUAUGCAUUUAUGAUAAAAAAAAAAAGUUAAAAUUAAUAAUUUGAAAAAGGAAUAGCAAUGUAAUAUAUUUCCAAACGUCAAAAUUUAUUAACAUAAUAAAAAAUUUCUAUUUUGAGUAAUAGCUCAUCAGAAAAUUUUAUAUUAAAAUUUCUUAAGAAAUAAGAGAAAAUAUAACCUAAAACAACAUCCAUUCGAACUAAAAUAAAUCAAUUUUUUUUAAAUUUAUUUUUAAGACAACAAUUAUCAAAUUUUUAAAAAUAACAAAAAUAAAUUAAAAAUAAAUUGAAUCAAAUAAUAUAGAAAGAAAAAAACAAAUAAAUAAACAAAUAAAUGUGAUGUAUGAUAUUAAUGGGUAAUUAAUUAUUCAUGGUUGACACCCAAGGCUUACAUCAUAUGCAUCUCCAUAAGGAUUAUAUUUCAAGUCAUCCUUUUAAAUAGAGUGAUAUUUAAAAUAGAUAAUUAAGAGUUCGUUUAGUUGUUAUUUAAAAAUUUUUAUUAUGAUAAAAAAAUUAAUUAAAAUUUUUAUCAUGAUAAAAAUAUUAAAAACGUUUUCUAUAAUCUCUAUCAAACACAUUUUAAAACAAAUGGUAUUAAAAUAAUAUUUAUUAUUUACUUAUAACAGUAUAAUAAUGGAUUUUAAAUUCAAGAACAGCGUUCAAGAGGGAACACGUGAGUAUCCUAUUUAAUGUUGAAUAUUUUAUUAAUUAAUUAAUUAAUCUCUUUAUUUGUAUCAACAACAAUAAGAAGCAUAUUAAAAUAAUGGGAUAUCAAGAUUAUUUUAACUUUGAAGAACUCAUCUUAAAACUACAAAAUGAUUAUUUUAACAAAAUAUCAAGAUUCCUUUCAUAUUUUCAACCUGUAAAACUUGUUUAUUGAGGAGUUGGUGGUGGUGGGAAUAGUUUACAAUUUUUAUUCAUUUUUUGUAUGCUUAUAGGGUGGACAAAUUUGGAAUCAUUUGUAAUGUUUAAUGUUUAUAUUAAAAAACAAUUUCCUUAUACUCUAAAAAAAAAUUGUGAAAUGAUUGGUUAUUAAGUCAUUUAAAAUUUAUGUGCCUAUUCAUCAAAGUAUUUAAUUUAUUUUGAUUUAAGUUUUAUCAUUACUUUUGAAUGUUCAAAAAUAUACAACACUCUUCAAUUGACUCAAGAAUUUAUAAUAAUCUUAUUAUUUGUUAAAUUAUAUAUACUUAUCUUUUUUAUUGAUUAAUAUAAAAUGUAUAUUUUUUUCAAUAAAUAUUUCAUUAACUUAUAUGGACUUAUGCAUUGUCAUUAGGGAAAAAACUCAUUUUAUUAUGGAAAAUUGUCUUUUUGAAAAAGUUGAAAUAACCAUUCAUUUUUAAAGAAAAAAAAUAGUUACUCUUUUUAAUUUUAUAUUAAAACUUUUCAAAUUAUCUCAAUUCAAUAUAAAAAAAAAUCAAAUUUAUUGUUAAAAAAAGGCUUGCAAUUUAUUUAAAAAAAAUAUUAGAAAAGAUUUUAUUCUUAUUUAAAAAAAAAAAAAUAUAUUUUUCCCUUUCCAUUUUAGAAAAAGGAUUUGCAGUUUUUUAUUUUAGAAAAAUAUUUUUGCAGUUUUUUUUAUUGGAAAUAAAUACCUUAUAGUUUUUUUUUUCUCAAAAAGAACUUUAAAAAAAAGAAGACUUUUACAGUUUUUAUUUAAUAAAGGCUUGAUAGUUUCAUUCUAUUAAAAAAGGAGUUUAGAUGUUAUUUUAUUUGCAAACUUGGUGAUAAAGAACAAAUCAAAUGAAACCGAAAUAAAUAAAAAUAAAAAAAUACAGAAAGAGCCUCGUCCACCACCUCCUCUAAAAUCCUAGGGUCUGUGCUCUUUUAUAGGCCUUCAAGCUUGGUCUUCAUCUACCCUUCCACGUGGUGGAUAUAAGCUCUAGGCGAAAAGUAAGCAGAUGGAGGCAGUAAAGUUGGCCAAUAUACACAAGCCCAAACCAAACAAAGCCCAAACCCAACAGACAAAUUAAACUAGGCCCAAACUUAAAUAAACAAAUGUGAUGGACCAGAGCAAUAGUUGAAGCCUGAAAUAGUAUCCAAGAACCCAAUACCCAUAAACAUGAAUCAAUAAAUAAACACCCAAAUGAAAGCCCACGAGCCUUUUUGUUCCACCUGAUAUCUCCUACUUUUUUUCACAUUUGUGCCCCAAACUACAAGCCCUCUUACUUAUGAGUUAUUUUUCGUUCUUCCUUAUAUCUUUAUUUGAGUCAUAUAAUAAGAAAAAUGGUUUGCUUGAAAAUCAAUCUCAACCUCUAUCGAAUCCUCCAUGAUCAGGUCUAGAGAUAUUUCAAUAAUAUGUACAUCUAAUCUUCUUUAUUUGUUUUGGUAAUCAGCCAUGUAUUAGGUCCUUUUUUUGAAGGGUUAAUUUGGUAAGUUUGUAACGAUAAUUAGGUUGUAUAUUGUGUAUAUAUUUCUUACCUUGAUCAAUAGAACAAUUAUCUUAGAUUCUUAAAGCCUGUAUCGACUUUAUCAUAUCUCUCUUAUAACUUUUUUCUUUUCUGUUAAUAUUUUAAAUCUAUUCAAUCAUUGAAAAACCAUAUCAAAAUAUCCCCAUCAAAUCUAGAAUUACUUUGGUCUCCCGAUAAUGAGUAAAAAAUUGAUAAAUAAAGGCUAUUCUCAUUCAUUGAAUAGACAAAGAGUCAAGUUAGUCAUUCAAAAGAAAAGAGAAGAAUGAACAAACAACUUUACUCUCAACCAAAUUUUUUUAAGAAAAAUUUAACUCCUUUUCCCAAAAUUAAAUGGGACAAAUUAAAAACCUUUUUUUUUUUUUUUUUUCCAUUUUACCAUUUCUUAUUAUUUUCAGACAUUAAAAUGAAAUUUUAUUGUUUUAAAUUUAAACUUCAUUGUGAGCUUGUGUGACUCUUUUUAUUUAUCUCCUGACUUUAAACCUAUCAAUUAUAUCCAAAUGUUCUUAUUAAUCAACAAAUUUAUGAGUGUUUUAUUCUCAAUAAGAAAGGGUGAAAUGAACGUUAUUCUCGUUGAAUGAAAAGAUAAAGAGUGAAGUUAGUAGUUAAAAAAAAAAAAAAAAGCAACUCAAUCUUUUUUUUUUUUUUAAUUUAAUUCUUUCUCCCAAAAAGUAAAAAAAAAGAGGAAAAACAGGCCAAUCCCACUCUAUUACAUCAUUGUAAAGUCAUACCCAAAUGUCCCAUCACUAAGCAUUGAACUAAGUUACGCAUCAUUGAAAAAAAAAACACCACUAGUGAUACACAGACAAGUUUUCUCAACCCCCAUCCAAAAAGCAAAAAGCAAAAGAAAAAGAGUGGAUAAUCAACUUUCCUUGGUAACAGUGCCUAAUAUUUUCCUGGAAAUUCCCUUGGUAAUGGAGCCUUGUUUUUAGCAUGUUUGAUUUCCUGAACCCUCUCUUUGUGAAGUCGAAAAUGCUUUCAACCAAAUCUAGGCAUAACUACACCAUCUUAGAAUUACAAUAAGAUCAAUUGUUUUUCAAUAUAAUGACUGAAUUUAGGUUAGAAUUCAUUAUUAAAGAUUUCAUUAAUUAAAAAAUUUAAUGGAUAGGGAAGGAAAUUAUAAUAUGCAUCAAGCUCAAUUGUUUUUUAACAUAAUUUGGAAUAGAAUAUACAAGUGUGAGAAGACUAACCUUAAAAAUAUAUAUCACAAGCACUAUCGUAAGUUUCAUGUGGUUAAGUCUUAAUAAUUCCUUAAAUUUAGUUUAUAUAUGUUUUAUUGUGUUAUAAUUUAAGAGAUAGACAUUUUAUGGUUCCAUGCAUAUAUUUAAAUUAAAAUUUCAAAAAAUUAAAAUUAAAACAUAAAUAGAGAAAAUAUAUAUAUGAACUCCAUCACAAGUAUUAAAAAGGAUAUACUACCUCCAAAGUAGUGGGGUGAUUGGUCUUGUUCAUUGUGAUAGUUUUCGUAUAGUGAAUGUAUUAGUGUGUAUUAAUGAAUAAUAAACAUAAUCCAUAGAGAGUUGUGAUUGAAUGACUAUUGAUUUGUUAUAACUUCUCCAAUAUACUAUGUUGCAUAGAUUAUCAAUCUUAGGAGACUAUUGUACUAAAGUUUAGGUCAUUAGUGGCUUUAUCUUAUGGAUGAGAUCCAAAAUAAUUAUAUAUAUAUAGACAUCAUAAUACCCCAUGAGGUUGAAAUAAUAUAUUAUUUUGAAUUAUUAUAAACAUAUAUGAUUAUAAAUUUUAUGGUCAUUAUAAUUCUUUCAAUGGAAUUUGACAUAUGUCAUUUGUGGCUAAGAAUGAGUUAUUUGAUCAUAAUAUAGGUGGAUGGAAGACGCAAGAAUUUGAGAGAGAUUGAUAGCUACUACCUUAUUGAAUCAUGGACAUCAAUUUAUAAAGAACUUGUAUAUAAUGAAUAAUAAGUUAGUGACACGAAAAAUUAAUUAAUUAAGGUUAUUGGUGGUUUAAGCAAGUAAUAAUAGAUACUCUUAAUAGACACCAUAAUAUCUCAUGAGUUUGAGAUAAUAUAUCUCAUUGGGUGAUCUUAAACAUUUAUGAUUAUGAAAUUUAUGGUCAUUAUAUUUUUUUUCAAUUGAAUUUGAUAUAUAUCAUUUGCGGUUAAGGAUAUGUUGGUUGAUCAUAAUAUAGGCGGAUGGAAGACUCAAGAAUUGGAGAGAGAUUGAUAGCAUGUCUUCAAAUCAAAUGAUAAAAGAAAAAAAAUAAAGGGUUGAAAGAAAUUGUGGAUUACAAAUUUUAGUUUCAAAACAGCGGGAAUUGUAGAUGUACAAUAAUUGGGUGAGAUAAGACAAACAAUUGGACCACAUUUGCUCAAUCAUGCAUGAGAACAUUAUAUUAUAUUUGGAUCUUAUGUGCAUGGUGGAAUGAUAGGAAAGAAAAGAAAAGUUAAAUUAACAAGAAGACCGUUAUAGAAUUCAUUACAUCAAAGAAAUACUUGAUUGUAAUUUAUAUUACUUACCCGCUAGUAAUUUUUAGCUUAUUAGAUAUAGAGAUAAUUUUGUAAAGACUUAUAUGAUCAAAAGAGCUUAUAAGAGAUGUCUUAUUUACUUAAACCUUAUUGAAGUAAUCAAUUGUGGCAUUUUCAAUUGGUCAAACGGAGUUUUUUAACAACAUCAUGCGUGUCACAUAAUUCAAUUAAAAAAUUUAUUGAAAAAGCUUAAUUUGUCGUAAGAAUUAAUAGAAAUUUUUCUGAAUAACAAAUCAAAAAUUACAUUUUAAAAGAAUCCAAUAUUUCAUGAUUGAAGUAAUUUUGUUGAUAAAAAAAAUAUCAUUUGUGUUAUGAAAAAAGGAAUGCAAUUAAAAUUUGUAAAGCCUUAUAGGUGUUUGUUUUUUUUACUUAAUUCUAAAUAAAACUUUAAUACUUAAUAGUAUUAAGUAUUAGAUUAUUUAUUUUUUUAAUAUUUAAUUUCUUUUAAACAUUAAAAAGUAAAGAAAAAUUAAUAUGUUAUUUUUUUAUUUAAAAAAAGUUAAAUAUUUUAAUUUUUUCUAUUCAACGAAAAAUUUAUAAUAAGUCAUGAAAAAGUAGAAAAACAAAUAACCUAAAUUUUAAAAAUAAAUUGCUUUCAGUAAAAAGCCAACACUCUCUUAUAUUUGAAGAUUUUAGAAGACUAAAAAUGUUACUAAUUGGAGUUAUAAAUUAAUCAAGUUUAAGGGGUAAAUAAAAAUGUAAACUUGAAUUUAAGAAAUUUUCAAAAAUAGAUUUGAUUUAGUUUCUAAAAAUCAAUUAAUAUAUAUAUUGACAAGUAGAUUUUACAUUUUGUAUUUGAAUACUUGAGUCAUAAAUUUUUUUUUAAUAUUCUGUUAUUAGGAUUUUUUUUUUAUUAGAUAUGAAUAUGUAUAAAUAAAAGGAUGCUUAACAGUUUAGCAAGAGUGAUAGAAUAAUUUUGUUAUAAAUUUUCUCCUAUUAGUCAUCUCCCUUGGUAGAAUUAUCUGAAGUACUAGUACCGUAUAAUCCCAUGGACGACAUGUAAACUCUUGCCCACUGCACUUAAAAAAAGCGACACUAGUAUAAAACGAUAAAAAAGAGGAAAGUGACUUGGGACCACAGCUUUGUGGAGGCAUUCGAACCCUGUUCCCUUUGCUGUAGUAAUAUACGACGCAGAGGCGGUGGAUUAUGGUGUUGUGAAAGAUCUGAGAGAGGUAGAGACGGUUGUAGAGCUUAAGCACACCCAUGGAUCCAUCCACUUCCACCCAUGCUUUAGAAUUACAGAACCUUGACUCAGUUUCUAGUGCGAACCAGGAGGAUGUCACAUACAUGCCUCCUAAAAUUUACAGCGCUGCAGCACAAGGCUCCACUGAUAUUAUCCGCAGGACAAUGCGCAGAGCUGUCCAAUAUUUAACACCCAAUAAGAACACUAUCCUCCACAUUGCAGCCCAAUUCGGUCAACCGAGGUGCGUUGAAUGGAUCAUUCGACAUUACAGUGGGGAUUCAUCCCCACUGCAGUGGCCCAAUCUGAAAGGGGACUCCCCCCUCCACCUUGCGGCGAGAGAAGGGCAUCUAGAGGUCGUGAAGACUAUUAUUCGUGCUGCGAGAACAGUUUCCGAAAGAGAUAUUGAGAGUGGGAUUGGAGUGGAUAAGGCCAUGCUGAGGAUGACCAACAAUGAGCAUGACACAGCCUUGCAUGAGGCAGUCCGGUAUCAUCAUCAGGAGGUGGUGAAGUGGUUGAUCGAGGAAGAUCCCGAGUUUACAUAUGGUGCUAACUUUUCUGGUGGGACUCCUCUAUACAUGGCUGCUGAGAGAGGGUUUACAGACUUGGUGAAAGUAAUCAUAGAGAACACUAAUCGCGAUCGACUGGCUCACACUGGCCCCAUGGGUAGAACAGCUUUGCACGCAGCUGUGAUUUGCCGUGACCCAAGUAGGCAUAUUCUUUUCCUGAAUCUACCAUAAUUCCUAUGUGGUUUAUUCAUUAAUAUGACAGGUAUAACAUAUAUAGUGUUGAAUAACAAGUUUUAACCUAGCUAAACUAUGGGGUUACAAUUUCUUCAUAACUUCUAAUCUUUCUCAAAAAAUAUUUUGAUAUAUUUGUUUGAGUAUAUAUAUAUGCUUGGUGGUUGAUUGUUACAGCUGUUUAAAUGUUAUAUUCCAAAUAGUUGAGUUACUUUUUAACCUGACAUGCAUGAUUAAAUAUGGGAAAAUGGGGAAGACUAAAGGAAACGCGUUUCUUAAUUUCUUAUACUCUUCUAAUUUUUUUUCUUUCUUUUCAUUUUAUGUAUUUGUUGAUCAGUAAUGGUAAAAGAAAUUCUGAAAUGGAAGUCAGAUCUAACAGAAGAAGUGGAUGAAAAUGGGUGGUCUCCACUUCACUGCGCUGCAUACUUGGGUUAUGUUCCAAUAGCGAGGCAAUUGCUUCAUAAAUCUGAUAGGUCUGUAGUCUACCUAAGGGUCAAAAACGAUGAUAACAAGACAGCUCUUCAUAUUGCAGCCACCCAUGGAAACAUAUGGGUCAUGAAACUGUUGGUGUCACACUAUCCAGAUUGUUGUGAGCAAGUUGAUGUUAAUGGAAAUAAUGCUCUUCACUUAUUUAUGGUGCAAAGAAGAUUUUUGAUCAAAAGCUUGUUGAAUAUUCCUUGGAUGAAUGUGGGAGCACUUAUGAGUGAGAAGAAUGUUGAAGGACAAACACCUCUCCAUCUGCUUGCCCAUUCCCAGACGAGAUCUGAUUGGACUUUCAUAAAAGACAAGAAAGUAGAUAAGAUGGCACUUAACAGCCAAAACUUGACUGCUGUGGACGUAAUUUUACUGGCCGAGGAUUUAUUUGGACAAAAGGUAAGC
rnacentral:lncRNA from 1 species